rnacentral:lncRNA from 1 species
UCAAGAGGAGUUUCUCCAUUGUUGCACUUACUUAGCAUAUCCGUUUUAGUGCAGUACACUGAUUCUCCAUAGCAUUGAAGCUGUGACUUUGGAAGGUUGAAGAGCGGUGGUAGCUGUUUUUAGCCAAUAAAAAUCAUAUAUCAUAUAUCUAUCUUACCAUCCUUGCUCUUAUAUACAAGCAAUUCAGUAGCACAGUGCAAGAUAAUUAUCGAAGGAUUAACAAGAACACAAGCAAUAUAUAGAGCUUUAUUUAAACUGACACAUAAAAUAAAUAAAAUAGGAAAUGGGAAAUAGAGCUUGCCUGAAGGCGAAUGAGAUCAGAUCCUGAAUGGACACUACUCAACAGACGGAAAAUGCGUUGAAGCAUAUUGGGAGGUCCAUCAGAAUUAUCUCCCUCCAGUGAUAAUGGUGCAGUUAGUACAGCAUUUGAAUUUGCAUUCUAAACGAGUGAAUGAUCCAAUUAGGAAACUAAUGAUUGGGUUCUCCAGAGAUAAACAAAAUUCAGCACAAAAUUUGUACACGGACAAAAAACAUAUAGGGAGAGUGAAAGGGAGGUGGAAUACAUACCAUUUAGGAGUACUGGAUUGAUGGCAGAGAAAGGUUUUGAACAGUCUUCUGCAAAGAAAAGAGAACACCUAUUCUCCUAUAUCUAUAGAGAAAGUUGAGAAUUCUCGUGCGUGUUCUUCCUUUUUCGUUACGUUUUUCCCUCUUUUCUCCUUUGCUCUUUUCUCUGGGACAAAGUGAAAGUUGAGAAUUCUGGUGGUGUUUUCUUCUUUCUUACGGUUUUUCCUUAUUCAUUUGAAGUGAGUUAACUUUAGUAUUUAUAAACAUGGGAAGAAGCCCCCCAGGGCACAGCUCAACUGGUGGAUCGAUCAACAUUGGCUUGCUUCCAGCGGCAGGAUGGAGAGUUCGAUUUGCAGUGGGAACCUGUGGCCAAAAAUUUGGUAUGGAACAAUCACUGUGGAAGAGGAUCUCUUGUGCGCAAAAGUGUACAGUCAAUGGGAGUAACCUGUGAUCCAGUUGAGGCAUAUCCCGCGAUUUACCCCCUCCAAGAUUCUAGGGGCAUGGGUCUUGGAGAUCUAGAAUUUAGUUUGGUGUAAACUAUGAUACCUGAAUAUAAAAAAUAAAAAAAACAUGGGAUGAAGUAAAACAUUGUGCGCACAUAUAUAUGUUGUUUAAUUUAUUGCAAACUUUCAGCGUGUGAAUGGAUUGCCCAACUUUUAGAUUCCAAGGGCCAGCUCCGUACGAUUUUUAAAAGAAUCAAUUCUAGAUGUUUAUGAGGGGUCCAAUGUAAGGUAAUUUUUAAUAGCGAUUUUAAAGCAAUAUGUAGACACACACACACACACAAUACGAGUGAAUGUGUACGUGGAACUAUAAGCUGGCCUCCUUCGAAAAUGGGGUUGUCUAAUGAAGCGCCUUUCCUACUACUAAUAGAAUGUCGGUUUUUGUCAACUUUAUUUAGGUUGAUGAGGUGAUUUUUUUUUUUUUUUUUUUUUUUUUUUAUUAACUCACAGUUGCUAUCCGAAGGUGCGCACUAGGUAAACCCCGCCUUGUGAUCCUAGCCGGCAAAGGACCACAAGGAGGUAAACCAACCUAGGUUACCCAUAACUGACUGGAUCAAACCAAGAAAACCAAUAGGCAACUCCAACAGGAAUCGAACUAGCAAUCUCACGAUUGCUAGUCCAACUGCCCGACCAACUUGGCUGGGGUUGCCCCCUGGGUUGAUGAGGUGAUUUGAUCUCACCUUAGGUAGUUCUAAGCGAAGGUUGUUAUCACAGUCCCACCGUCGAAUAUAACAAUUAGAUCGAUAUAUUUAAAUUAUAGUUUCUUGCAUGAAUUUUUUUACUCAUAAGGGAGAUUUUAUUUAUUAUUUUUUACAUUUAAGACUUAAAAAGUAAAAUAUGUACUUACAAUUCAAAUUUUAAUUUUUAAGUAUUUUUUACUUAUAAGUAAAUUAUACAGUUUAUAAGUUUAAUUUUUGCUUAUAAAUUUUUAAUUUAUACCUGAAAAACUAUCAAAAUCUACCUAUUUGCUAGGUUGAAAAAUGACCCAAAUUGCACUACACUGAUAACAGAUGGUUUUUAAACAUUUAAAAUCAGUUUCCUCACUCUCUUUCACGUCCAUAUAUGUUAAUUAACAUUCAACUUCACUUAAUUGAAUUCGUUCGUAUUCAAUUAUUAUUUUUACAAUACUUAUAAAACAUUUCAGAAUAAUGUGUAACGCAUGUUCGACGUUGACUAAUACACACAAAUGUGGGUAUGGUUCAACUAAUUAGAAGCCUCGUGCAAAAAUUCUUAUGAGGUCAAUAAAAAAUAUUAAAUAAAGUAAAUGAUCAUCUAUAAAAUUCUGUAGAUGAUCUCGAUAGUUUAUUUUAGGCAAAUCUGACAGGAAUCAACAUUUUUUUAUUUUUCAAAAGGAAUUGGCAAAAUUGACAUUAUCGGUAAUCCUCGAUGCAAUUUGUUAUUGAUGUCGACAAAGCAACAACAAUGUAAUCGAUGAUGAUCUCGACAAACUCAUAAUGCUUCGAUCUCUCUGAUCACCAACAUGGACGUAGUCAAUGUCAUCUAGGGUGUAAGCUGUCCGAUUUUACCGAUUUUUGACAAAUUUUCAAACCAAACCGUUUAAAACGGUUUGAGAAAAACCCAAACCUAAACCAAACCAUUUUGAACGUUUUGAAAAAAACUCAAACCUAAACCUAACGAUUUGGUCCGAUUUUAAACCAUCGAUUUCACCAUAUUUUUUUGCUAGUCUGCUUUUAUGUCAUUAAUUCAUUGAAUUUAAUAUAUAUUUAUAUCUCACUAGUCAUAAAUAUAAAAUAAACUAAGCCCCUAUUUGAACCAAAUUUUGGGACAAAAAAAUGAAAAUUUGGACCAUUAUUCAACAAGAUCAGCCACCUUCGUUGACCUGCUAUUUCAUGUGUGCGAUUUAGCCUUCUCUCUAAUAGUUAAUUUUCUCAUUAUGAUGAUAUGAAAAAUAUGGCUCAAACAGGGGCUAAAUAUAUCUACUAUAAAUUUAAAUAUCAACUAAAUCAAAGUGAAAUCACAAUAAACUAAAAUAUAGUUUUUUUUUUCAUUUUUGUUCACCUUUUUUAGGCUAAUGACGAUACAAUAAUGUUACAAUACAAGUUUACUAAACUAGAUAUAAGGUCCAAAAAAUAUAAUGAUAUCCAAUAAGAUCUCGUGAUUAUCAUAUCUAAAAAAAAGGAUGCUGAUUAAACAAAGAGAAUAAUCAACCACAAUAAUAAAGCAAUUGUUUAUAAUAUCUAAACAUAACAAUUACACAAGUUUACGUUUGUAUGAUGUUACGAAACACGUUUAAUUUCAAAUUCUUACUUUAAUUUGCUCCAAAAAAUUAUUGAUCUGAAACUUUAUUUGUGGCAAAUAUUAUCACCGAAAGUUUAGGAUCUCUUUGUCUCCGAUUUGAUAUAAUGGACUUCAAUUCAAUUUUGAAGAGGCGUGAAAAAUCGAAAAAAGAAGUGUGUGGCGCCGGUGGCUCAAAACUGUGUUGCAUGUCGACUGAAGUUCAUCUAAAUUUUGAAGAGGAAAAAAGCUUUUGAUAGAUUAUGUUAGUCUUGAAAUUAUUAAAUAUAUAUUAAGAUUAUUGGAUGAUAAUAAUAAUAAUAAUAAUAAUAAUAAUAAUAAUAAUAAUAUAUCUGUAUUAAAAAAUUAGGAAUUGACAAAAAUACCCACAAAUGACAAAACUAUUGAAUUUUACAUAUUUGGAUAAAUUUUCAAAAAAAAAAAAAUCAUUUUUUAAUUUUUAUAUAUUUUUUUGCCGGUCCGGUUUGAUUUUAAACCGCAAUUAAAAUUCUCAAACCUAAACCAAACCAUUUUAACCGGUUUGAUUUGGGUUAAAACCAUUUCGUUGACCGGGUCCACGUGGCACCAAACCGACGGUUUCUAAAAUGCGGUUUCAGUUCGAUUUUUCGAUUUUUGCUUACAGCCCUAAUGUCAUCUAUGGAAGUUCAUUCUUUUUUUAUUUUUAAAUUUUUUUAAUAAGUUAAUAAUUUAUGCCUUGUUUGAGCCCCAUUUUCAUUUUUUUUUUGCCAAAACUCAUUUUUAACCACAUAUUUUUCAAUAAAAUAAUAUUACACGCAAAUUUAAAAAUUUUCCUUAAUUUUUAACCACAUAUUCUCAUCAAUCUACUACUCCAAAAUGCUUUCUUUCCUGAAAAUGGGGCUCAAACAAGGAUUUAAUAUUAUAUCUAUAACUUAAAAAAUCUUAUUUUUUUAAUUUAUAAUAUUAAUAACGGGUAAAUUAUUUUUGGAACUUUUAUAUAUCUGUCAAUAAGUUAAAUGUCCAAAAGUCAGUGUUUUUGGAAUUUCUGUCAAUAAAUUAUUUUUUGAGAUUUCUGUCAAUAAAUUAAAUGUCCAAAAAUAAGUGUUUUUAUCAUUAUAGAAGAAAAAUAUGAUUCAAAGAUUGCAUAAUAAAUAUAUUUGGAACUGAAUUUUCUAAAAUUUGAGGGUCUUUUCUAAAUAUAGGGGUAGGGCCUUUAAUCAAUAACCUCGUUUGUGCAGAGAUUGAGAUAGGUCGGGUAUGGAAAAUAUCAAAUUCCUCAUGUGUUUGUAUAUGGUGUCGGUAUCACAUUAAAUUACACAAAAUUCGUUUAUCUAAUUUCAAAUAUCCUCAAUUUUCUUGUCGAUAUUUUUAUGUUCAUAUUUAUCUUUUAAAUUAGGCUCUUUAAUUAAAAAGAAUUAUUUAAAACCACACAAGUCACCAAUUACCUAACUUGAUGGCAUUCUAAACUCGCUGUAAUAAUUGCCAUCUAAAUAAUACAUUUAAUUAAUAAAGACGCCUAAAAUGUCCCUAAAAAAACUUUAUAAAUUAAGACCCAUUAAUUUCAACAAUAGCUUCUAACUCAUCCUAGUUGAUAGUACUACAUGGUAGUUGGGUAGAAUAGAAAUAGACAUGACUUUCAUGAACUCAACCUAACUUCAUUCAAUCGAAAUAGAUUGAUUGAUACCAAGUUUUUUAUAGUAAAAAAAAAAAAAAAAAAAAUUCUCAAUUUUGUACUUAAUUCGCUUGAGGUUGCUCAGUUGUACCAAUCCCAAUUAGACAGGGUAGGACUAAAGUGAGACAUCUAAACUUAUCCAAAAUUACUAAUGAAUGUCAUCAGUGGACAACACCAGUGACGAAUCCAAGAUUUUAUUUGAGCAUGGGCGAUCGUUGACUGUCGAUGGCCGCAAUAAUAACUAAUGCCGUGAAUUGAAAUUACUUAUAUCAUAGUUUGAUUUGUAAGUGUGAGUGUAUGUUAUUUAGUAAUAAUUUGAAGUUUGAAAAAUGGUCCAAUUAUUUACUUUCUUGGUUCGAUUUGCUAAUAAUUUCAAUUUAAUAGAAAAAAUAACUAUUUUAAUGAUCUCACUACAGGGUCAAAUUUUAUUUAAUAUUUUUAUUCUUCUAAAAUAUAUCUUUACUUGAUAAAAGAAUAUACAGAUUUUGCUGCAUGCAUCGUUAACAUGCGCCGACUGCCAUAAUGGUCAAGUGUUGCUUGAUUCCAAUGGAGAUUACAAGUUUGAAUCUUCCAUUUGCACUUGUUUUAAUGUCUAUUUGCUCCAAAAUGUGAAAAAUAUUAAAAUAAAAUAAUUGCAAAAGGGCAUUGCAACAGUUAAAAGUCAAACCAAAUACUCCCAUUCACUUGUAUGGUACCGUAACCAGCUAAACAAUCAGAGCUUGCUAUGAAUCACAGAAAUAUAUCUAAAACUAUAAAUACUUUGACAUCAAAAAAAGUUGAGUUAUGACGAAUUUAGCAUGGGUGGCCGCGGGGCUCGCUAGGUGCUGGAUCCUCCGCUAGACAACACUUCCAAAAAUGGUCUAAUUUUUUUCUUGUUGAUGUAUUAGGUGUCAAAGCAAUGUGAGAUGGGAUGCAUUAUCAUAUUUUUUGUGUCCACUUAGAUCACAACAGAGUUCACAAUUUAAAUUUAGGGAGCUAAUGAAGUCCAAUUUAAAAUUUAGGGAUGCUUUUCAUACACAGUCCAAUUAUAUGAUAUUUGCACAUUUUAACUUCAACUAUAGAGUCAACCAUAUACGAUAAUAACUCAACGAAUAAUAUUAUCUAGCAUCAAUGGUGAUAAAACACCAGUUUCGAUAGCUACACUUUAUAUGUUCAAUUAAAUAAGUCACGUGAUUUGUAUUUAAAUGAAUAUAUCAUUUAAUGCUAUGCAAAUACCAGCUAAACCGAUCUUUAAGAACAUUUUUAAGAGACUCUUUUUUAGUAUAUUCUACAAUUUAGAUAGCAUCUAUAAAUUUAGAAAUUAAAAAUUAUUUAGUACACUAAGACUCUUUAUAUUUAAUACUUAAAUUUAUUACUUUCAAAAAAUAUUUACUAUUUUUCCAUUUUUUUUUCAUUACCUUCCCCCUAAAUUAUUAUAUAUUUUCCUCAAUUGAAAAUUGAAAAUUGAAAUAUUUUAAAAUCUUUUAGUAAUAUAGAGUGAGUUUGGUUCUACAAAUUUCUCCAAAUUAAAAAUUUAAUUUAAAAAGUCUCUUGAAACAUAAUUUUAAGAUUUGACUAUCUAAAUAGAAGUAUUUUAUGUUUAAAAAGUAUCUUAAAAAUGUUUAAGACCAAUGAUGAUGAGUAACAUUACUUUAACUCUCGCGCUGCGGAUGAAGGAUGAAUUGCUUAAUAAUUUACCCUUUUAAUUCUUUACUGUAGAAGGGCUUUGCAGUCUUUUAGUCAUAGGGGACACUUCAAUAAUAAGUUAAUUGUCCCAAUGGUCACUGAACUUAUGUUUGUGUCUUCAAUUGUUUACCGAAAUUUAAGAUGUCAAGUUUUGAACACUAAACUUAUUCAAAUGUUGGACGUUACUCACUCGCAUAAUAUCCAUUGCAAACCUUCAAUGGAACUAGUAACAUGGCUAACGGGAUGCAUAUGUAGCGCUCUGUCACACCGUUAACAAAUUGUAAAAUCUUUGAUUGUUCACUAAAUUUUGAAAAACAUCUUCAAUUACACACUAGAUUUUGGAGAACUUUUUUAGUUGCUCAUUAAACUUUGAGUUGGUCGAAUUUCGAGCACUAAAAAUUUAAAGCAUAUUUCAUUGUUCACUAAAUUUUGGAAAUGUCUUCGAUUGUUCACUAAACUUUAAAAAAGAAUUUGAUUGCUCACUGAAGUUUGAGGUGACCAAAUUUUGGCCACUAAACUUAUUAAAAUGAUGCCGAUCUAUUGUCCAUUAAAAAUGUGUAAAGCAAGCUCAUGAAUCGAUUAAAAGUAAUAAAGUGAAUAAAUGAGUCGAAGUUGUGAAUCCCACGAGAAUGAUUACUCAAUUACACAAUAUACUUUUAACUACAGUGUAAUUGAGUAACCAUUUCUCGUGGGAUUGAUAAUUUGGACUCGUUUGUCCACUUUAUUACCUUUAAGUGACUCGUACACUUGCGGUACACAUUUUUAGCCGAACAAUAGGGCGACAUAUUUUAUUAGUUUAGUGGCCAAAAUUCGAUCAUCUCACACUUUAGUGAACAAUGAAAGAUGCUUUAGAAUUUUAUUGGACAAAAUUCGACCACCCCAAAGUUCAGUAAACAAUCAAAUACGUUUUUAAAAUUUUAGUGAGCAAUUGAAGUUUUGAUAAUUUGUUAACGGUGUGAUGGGAUACUACAUGUGAAAUUUGUUAGCCAUAUCAGUGAUCUCGUUAAAAGUUUGUAAUGGAUGUUAUGCGAGUUAAUAAAGACGCUUAAAAUGUCCCUAAAAAUUGACUAAAACUUUAUAAAUUAAGACCCAUUAAUUUCAACAAUAGCUUCUAACUCAUCCUAGUUGAUAGUACUACAUGGUAGUUGGGUAGAAUAGAAAUAGACAUGACUUUCUUGAACUCAACCUAACUUCAUUCAAUCGAAAUAGAUUGAUUGAUACCAAGUUGAAUGGUUCGAUUCCUGUUCUUGAAAUGACCAAACGGAACCACCCGAAGCCACUCUUAUCCUUUACUGUUUUAAAAUUCUUGUACAUAUAUAAAUUAACCCCCUUUUGACAACUAGUAUAUAUUUUCAAAUUCUUUUUUAUACAUACUCAUUUUUAAUCACACAUUCACAUAAUAAUAUAAUUUACACGUAAAUUCAAAACUUUUUUUAUACUUUUAAAUCACACCUUGCUUUUUAGUUUUCAAAAAUCACUAUCCAAAGCAUUGUUUGUCAUGAACAAUGACCAUCAGUAGAGAGUAUCAAUUAAACCGAAUAAAGAAACUAGUUAAAUUCAUAAAUUUAGAUUUGGACGCUAUUCUAUUAAUCGAGAGCACUUUUAGUUACUUUAAUAAUCUUAAAAUAUUUAUGAAUAACUAAAUUUAUUUAAAAGUAAUUUACUAAUAUUUACAAUAAAUAAUUUUUUUCUCACGGAUAUAAGUAAUUAAUUUAUUUUUAAAGUUUUUUCUACUUAAAAAGAAUAAAAAAGUUAUCAAAUGCGUUUAAAAGCACUAUUUACGCAAUGACAAGUUUGAAUUCUUAAGCUUAGCAAAAAAUGCGUUCAUUAUCUUCUGGUUUUAAGAAAACUAAAAAAUAAACAGGCAACAAUUGUCCCUAACCUUAUGUAUACUUCGUUAAGUUGAUAACUAAUAACAGUUGAUUAAUUAAUUCAAGAGCAUAGACGAGGGAUUCAAUGUUGUGUCUUUUUAUUACAAAUUAUCUUAAUUUAUAUUUAGAACUAGUAAUUUAUAAAAGAGUUUCCUCUUUCGGAAGAACUCUAAAAGUUCUUUUAAAUAGAAAAAAAUUAUUUUUAUGAAAUUAAUCAAUCUCCUUUUAACUUCUCAAAAAUCACGUAGAAUAGGCCUUAAAAAUUUCAUUUCUCUUAAACAGAAAAGUCAGUUUUAUAAUGUUGGCUUACAUAAGACAAAUGUUCAUUGGGAUCGUGCUGGAGAAGGUACCCUAAAUUUUUCAAAUGUGUUACAAGUACAUCGUUUUUUACAGCUUCCUUGACCGUCCUCUCACAUGUAGGAGUGGGGCCUGCGAUUAAAAUAAUCGUAGACCCCACCAUUUGUAAGAGAGCUGUAAAUGUGUACAGCACCAAGUGCUGCACAUGUAACGCUCCGACCCUCAAGGAUCCGAACGUCACUAGAUUAAUUGUACUUUUAACUGUAAACUUAAAAAAAUAGCUAAACUUUUAGAGGAAAUUAUAAAGAUUUAAUUUAAGAAUAUUUAUUUAAAAAAAAAAAGUAAAUGACAACAUAACUCAAUACAAAAGGAACCAAUUCCUAAUGUCUUCAGGUGACAUCCAUGCACAAAUACAUUUUUGUUACGUGAAAUUUUAGGCAAGAAUUUAAAAAUAAAUGUUGUUAUUUGACUUCCCAUUUUUGCGCAGUAAGUUUUAAAGUAAACUCGUUUACAUAGUAAUCUAAGUCGAAAUUUUACGAAACUUAUUGAGAAAGUAGGGAACUUCUCAUAAUAUAACAUAUCCAAAAUUCAGCUUUCAUCGACCACAUAUGAGAUAUUAAAAUAUUUUUCAAAACCUCAUAGCGACACGAUUUGGGAAGUAACCCAGUGCAGUAUACUUAAGGUGGUAUAUAAAAUUUCAUAGAUAUUAGAUUGAUAUGAUUUUGAGUUUAUUCAGUAGCUAAUCCAUGAGACUAUUAAAUCCUACUGGUUUUGUCCAAAAAUCCCAAGUAACAAUUGAGUUACGAAUUUUUAAGUUUAAUGGUAGAAAUUGGAAUUUUCAGAAAACAGCAACACCAUGUUUACUUAAAGUGACAUAUAGGUAGACGGUGUUUCGUAAGUAAAUUCUAGAUCACACACAUAUAUAUAUAUAUAUUUAAACAUAACCUAUUCAUAAGAAAAUGUUCGAAAUAGUUUCAUAUACGAUGUCCAUAGAAAAGUAACUAAUAGGAAACGCAAAUAUUUCAUAAUCAAUUUAAAGUUGCGACUUUUCCAUGUCAAAUUGCAUCUUCAAUCACCAUCAUCUGCGCCUCCAACAAAAGAAAAAAAUCAACCUGUAAUAAGGGAUUUAACCCAUGAGUUUGAAACUCAAUAGAUAUCAUUGGUGCAUUUCGUAAUCAAAUUAGAAAAUUCGAACUAUGGAUUCAUACCAUCGCAAGUAGAUGGAUUUUCGACAAAAUCCGAUAUCUAUAGCAUUAUCAUAACACGUAGAGUUGGAGAAUGAUUAUUCAAACUAUAAUAGUGCCGAAGCACCGUAUCCGAAGGUACCGUUUCGUUCAACUUUUAACGAAAAAUCAAAUUUGAAAAUGAAAUAACACUUGCACCUCAACCUACCUUGAAUCUUCUUAGAUAUCAAAGAACAAAUGUGUAGAAAGCCUUUCUUCUUUUCACCCUUGUUAUUCCCUUAACUUAAAUUGACAUAAAAUAUAUUUUUUGAGAGAAAAUAAGAUGAAAUUCGGAUUUAAGGAAGGAUGUAGUGAAAAAGUGACAUUCCACUUCUUGUAACCUUUCUUUUUAAUGAAAAACUAAAUGGGGGGAGUUGUAUUAUCAUAAAGUUUGUUAAAUUGGAUCUUUAACUAAGAAUUUGAAAAGUUUUUAAGCCUAAAAAAAAUUCAUAAAAAAGUUUUAUAAAAACAUCUACAUGGUGAUUCAAACCUGAGUUGCCUUUAUGAAAUAACAUGUAGAUGAUCAUUGGGGUAACCCAGUUAUUUAUUAAAUCUUUGUAAUCAAAUUUACUUAAACUUAAUUGCUUAAAUUGUUGGACUUUUAAUUAAUUUAUGGCUUGGACUUUCAAAAUCUUAAAUGGUUUGAGCUUCCACAAGUCGUUUUUUGAAUGAGAUAGGCUCAUGGUGCUAGAUUAUCAUAACAUAAUAGCCUAAUUUCAUUUUAUUUCUCGGGCUUCCACAUCCCUUACACCUUAAACAAAAUUUCGUUCUCAAAAUUUACCUUAUGGAUUGGCAAAGAGUGUCGGAUAUUUGUCUUUAACUUCUUCUUCUUCUUCCCAAGUAGCUUCUUCAACUCCAUAAUUAUUCCAUUGCACAUUGACCAGUUGAAUCUCCUUGUUCCGUAAUUUAUGUACCAUUCGAUCCAGUAUUCUAAUCGGUAAUUCCUCAUAAGAUAAAUCUUUACGUACAUCUAGGGAUUGAUAAUUGACCACGUGAUCAGGAUCAUGCAUAUAUUUUUUGAUCAUCGAUAUGUGAAAUACGUUGUGAACUACUGAUAGUUCGGACAGUAAAGCUAAUCGAUAAGCCACACUUCCGACCUUAUCAAGUAUUUCAAAAGGUCCGAUAUAACGAGGUCGUAGCUUGCCUUUCUUGUCAAACUUAAGUACACCCUUUAUUGGUGCCACUUUUAAAAAGACUUUAUCUCCAACUUGAAACUCCAAGUCCUUUCGUCUGAUAUCUACAUAGCUCUUUUGUCUGUCUUGCGCUACCUUUAUCCUAGUGCAGAUCUUAUCAAUGGCUUCGACUGUCCUUUCAAUGAAUUCUGGUCCCAAAACUCUAUUUUCUCCGACUUAAUCCCAAUGAACAGGUUAUCUACAUAUUCUACCAUAGAGAGCUUCAUACGGUGCCAUUUCAAUAGUUGCUUGGAAGCUGUUAUUAUAUGCAAAUUCUACCGAAGGCAAAUACGAUUCCCAAUUGCCUCCUAAAUCCAAAACACAGGCUCUUAACAUAGCUUCCAAAGUCUGAAUGAUUUUUUCAGAUUGACCAUCGGAUUGAGGGUGAUAUGUCGUACUGAAAUUCAAUUUUGUUCCAAUAGCCACUUGCAAGCUCUUCUAAAACUUAGAUGUAAAUCUCGGAUCUCUGUCCGAUACAAUGGAUACGGGGGUACCAUACAAUCUUAUGAUCUCUUUAAUGUACAACCGUGCCAACUAAUCUAGACUGAAUGUCAUUUUCACAGGAAGAAAAUGAGCGGACUUCGUUAGACGGUCCACUAUUACCUAUAUAGCAUUGUGCCCUCCUGCUGAUCUCGAAAAUCCUACCACAAAGUCCAUUGUGAUAUUCUCCUACUUCCAUUCUAGUAUUUCCAAUGGAUUUAACAACCCUGCCAAUCUUCGAUAUUCUGCUUUAACUUGUUGACAGACAAUGCAUUUUGCCACAAAUAGACAUAUACUUCUUUUCAUAUUCCUCCACCAAAAUGUAUCUCGAAGGUCUCGAUACAUUUUCGUACCGCCAGGAUGUGUAGUGUAUGGAGUGAUAUGAGCCUCCUCCAAUAUCUCCUUCCUCAAAACUUCAUCCUUAGGUACACAAAUCCUUCCUUUAACCAUCAGAGCCCUAUCCGAAGCUAUUCUAAAGUCCUUUCUCUUAUCAAUACCAAUCUCGUUCUUGAUCUUUUGCAAGAAUGGGUACUUACCUUGUGCCUCAAUGAUCCGAUCUCUAAGAGUAGGUCAAACCACCAAAGUUACUAAACGGGUGGUGACUUGCUCUGGUGUGGCAACCAUUUCGAUUCGUAAAUUCUCCAAGUCCUUGAUCAACUCCAACUAAGUAGUAGGUAAUGACGCCAAUCGUCCCACUGACUUUCUACUUAGCACAUUGACAACAACAUUAGCCUCACCAGGAUGGUAAUGGAUAGUAAAAUCAUAAUCAUUUACAAGUUCCAAACAUCCUCUCUGUCUCAUAUUCAAUUCCUUCUCUAUGAAGAAAUAUUUGAGGCUUUUAUGAUCCGUGUAAAUGUCGCACUUCCCUCCAUAUAAGUAAUGGCGCCAUAUCUUUAAAGCAUGCACAACUGUAGCAAGUUCUAGAUCAUGCGUUGGGAAGUUCAGUUUAUGUUGCUUCAAUUGCCUUGAUGCAUAGGCAAUCACUUUUUCGUGCUGCAUCAGUACACAUCUUAAACCUUGUUUGGAUGCAUCACUAUAUAUAAUAAACCCUUCCGAACCUUCGGGUAUAGCUAACAUGGGUGAUGAAAUCAAUCGUCGUUUUAGCUUUGAAAGCUCUGUUCACACUUAUCUGUCCAUUGGAACUUUACUCUUUUCCUUGUCAAUUGUGUCAUUGGUCCAACUAUUUUGGAAAAUCCUUCUAUAAAUCUCCGAUAGUACCCGGCCAAUCCCAGAAAACUUCGAACUUUACCCACGUUAGUUGGUGUAAUCCAAUUAGUUAUUGCUUCCACUUUUACUAGAUCCGCCUUAAUUCCUUGGGCAGUAACUACGUGACCAAGAAAUCCAACUUGUUCAAGCCAAAAUUCACACUUUCUAAAUUUGGCGUAUAACUUUUCCUUACGCAGUGUUUCUAACGCCAUUCUAAGAUGCUCUUCAUGUUGAUCUUUACUCUUGGAGUAUAUUAAGAUGUCAUCAAUGAAGACUAUGAUAAAUUGAUCCAAAUACUGAUGAAAUACACGAUUCAUUAAAUCCAUGAACACUGCCGGAGCAUUUGUCAACCUAAACGACAUAACUAUGAACUCGUAAUGUCCAUAACGAGUUUGAAAAGCUAUCUUGGGUAUAUCACUUGCCUUAACCUUCAACUGAUGGUAUCCAGAUCGUAAGUCGAUCUUCGAAAAUACCUUAGCCCCUUUCAAUUGGUCAAAUAAAUCCUCGAUUCUUGGGAGAGGAUAUUUAUUUUUGAUAGUGAAACGGUUCAACUCCCGAUAGUCAAUACAUAUCCUCAUACUUCAAUCUUUCUUCUUUACGAACAAUACUGGUGCGCCCCAAGGAGACACACUUGGUUGAAUAAAGCAACAAUCCAACAAUUCUUGUAAUUGAAAUUUUAACUCCUGAAGUUCAUUUGGAGUCAUUUUGUAUGGAGCUUUAGAUACUGGUACCACUUCGGGAACCAGGUCUAUUGUGAACUCCACUUGUCUAUCUGGAGGAAUACCAUGUAGUUCUUCUGGAAAUACAUCUAUAAACUCUCGUACAACUGGUACAUCCUCAAUCUUUAUUGUCGUCUAUUUUUCUCCUGAGAUGUUAACUAGAAACCCUUAGUAUGUUUUUUUUUCUCAUCAUUUUCUCAGCUUGUAAGGCCGAUACUAGUUGGAGAUGGAGUUUGGUCUUUAUUCCGAGAAAAGAGAAUUGCUCUUCUCCUAAUUUCUGAAAAGACACUUCACUUUCUCUACAACGAAUGGUUGCAUAAUUACGUCCCAACCAAUCCAUGCCCAAAAUCACAUUGAAGUCUUUCAUCUCUAUCAGAUACAAAUUAGCUUCUACUGUUUUUCCUUCGAUUUCAAGAUUUACCGACCUAGCUAACUGAUCUGUAUUUAAUGUUCUACCUGAGGGGACGCUAACUUCUAGUGUACUUUCUGACUUCUCACAAGUAAUACUAGAUUUAGAAAUAAAAGACGUUGAUACAAAAGAGUGAGUAGUUCUUGAAUCAAACAGUACAUAGGCAGGUGUAUUGAAUAUCAGUAAAAUACUUGUUAUUACGUUUGAGUUUUCCUCUGCAUCCUUCUAAGUCAGUGUAAAGACUUGUGCUUUUCCCUUUUUGUUUUGAUCACUGUUAUCAUCCUUCUUUUGAGUGAACAUAGGACAAUCCUUAGCAAUAUGUCUUGGCUUACUGCACCGAAAACAGGCAUUCUUCCCAUAUAAGCAUUUACCACAAUGAGGUUUACCACACUUUAGACAAGGCGUAACUGUAGCUACUAUGGCCUUGCUGGCACUAGAUCCGAUGUUAGCCUUCUUAUUUUGCCAUUUGCCCUUUCCUUUGUCUUGACCAUUCCACUUCAUCUUUCCAAUAUGCCCUCUAUCUUGCUGGUUGUACAAUUGACGGUGUUGCUCCGCAUUAGCCUUCUGAUACCAAAUAGCGUGAGCUCAUUCCAACAUCUCACGAUAUGAUGUGAAAUGAUAUGAUAAAAGAAUCAUGCUUAGGUCUGGGUUUAACCCUUGCUCGAACCUUCUAGUCUUCUUAAUUUUUGUGUCAACCAGGUGUGGAGUAUAUUUUGAGAGUUGAUCGAACUUUCGUUUGUAAUCAAUCAGGGACAUAUUACCUUGUUUGAGCUGAAGGAAUUCGUUUUCCUUGAAAUCUCUUAGAGACUGAGGAAAAUACUUGUUCAUUACUUCAUCUUUAAAUUGUUCCCAUGUUAACGCCAAUUGCUGCUCCGGGGUUCUAGUCUGAGACAUUAAAUCCCACUAGUAACUUGCAUCACCAAUAAACAUAAACUCCACACACUGAACCUUUUGGGUGUCGGUGCAGUCUAUGAGUCGAAAAAUUCGUUCUAGCUUACGAAGCCAUUCCUUAACUUCUAGUGGACUAGAUGCUCCAUCGAAGGCAGGGGGCUUAUGCCUUCGAAAUAACUCAACCACCGAGGCAUGAGUCGGGAGAGUAAUAGGAGCUAGUGGUGUAGUUGGAGUUGGGUUCUGAUUCAGCUUGCCAAGAUCUUGAAUCAUUUGUAGAAUAUCCCUUAUCAAUUUGUUCUGGUUUACACGAGACAUUUCCCUAGAAAUAAGAUAUAAUAUCUCACAUUAACUUCUUUUUCCAAAACCAGGAUUAAAAUAGGGAAAUAUUUUCAACUCGAACCAGAUUUGAUUUUUUUUAUUAAAAGCACUCCUUGAAAUCAGGAUAUACAAUAGUUCGACAACCCUUACUUUCAUAACAUUAAGGAAAAGAUAACACAAGGAAAAAGAAUCUAGUUUCUAAUCCCUAUGAAUCUUGCGAAUCUUCUUUGGUGGAGCUUCAUCUUCGGAGGAGGCUUCUGCCUCAGGCCUGGACUCUAGGUCUAUCUCAACCUGUAGCUCAUGCUCAUGCUCAAGUUCAUUCUCUAAUUCCAACCCAAAGUCAUUCUCAUGCUCCCAUUCGGGAUCUUCCUCUGGAUCCGAUUCAAACUAAGGUUCUGGCUCAGGCUCGGGCUCAAGCUCAAUUACUAUCUUCGGUUGAGGUUCUAAGCUCUCACUCCACGUGUCUAGAAGGAUCUGACAAUAUAUACCGAACCCAAUUGCAUUUGGGUGCUCUGGAGGGUUACCUUCUUGCAUCUCAUCCCUGAACAUGACUCUCAUGUUUCCCAAUUGAGGUGGAAGUGGGUGUAUGAGGUUAUUUAUAGCCUCGAUAUUCGUGAUCUCCAGUCUUGGAUCUACCGCCGCCAUACAUCUCUCGUAAAUGUCAUGUAUGUGUUCAACAAGCGGACGAGAUAGGUCAAUCACGUAGUUCUCAUAGGAUUGAAUGAUAGACCUAUGGUUCAACGCUGCUCUACAAGUCGUGGCCUUUCUAGUGGUCUGAUAAAUUCUAACCAUGUCUGUCACAUAAGUGUCCAAUUAUGUAUUAUAUCUGUUAGUGAUAUCAACUUAUGCAUUAUGCUUUUGGGGUUUCAAUAAAAUAGCUAAUCAUCAUUUCUUCAUGUAUAUAUAAACAAAAUAUAACUUACAUAACAUAUUUCAUUCUAAAUAUCAUUAGCAUUUUCAUAGAUUUAAGCUUAAAUGAUUUAUAAAUCAUGCUCGAAAAAUAAAGUAGAACAUAAUAUUUUAUUCCAUACCUUAAGUUCGUCGAAUGAUGUCAAUUGAUGGAUGCAAGAUGCCAUGGAAUGCCUUAAAUGUUUCACUUUCUCUCUCAUCUUUUAAUUAUUAUUAUUUUUUUUUAAAAAUACGCUAAGUCUACAGAAUUGACUAAACUCGUGCUCUGAUACCACGCUGUAACGUCCCGACCCGCAAGGACCGGAACGUUGCUAGAUUAAUUGUAGUUUUAGCCGUAUACUUAAAAAAAUAGCUAAACUUUUAGAGAAAAUUAUAAAGAUUUAAGUUAAGAAUAUUUAAAAAAAAUAAUAAAUGACAACAUAACUCAUUACAAAAGAAACUAAUUCCUAAUGUCUUCAGGUGACAUUCAUACAUAAAUACAUUUUUGUUACUUGAAAUUUUAGGCAAGAAUUUAAAAAUAAAUGUUGUUGUUUAACUUCCCAUUUUUGCGCAGUAAGUUUUAAAGUAAAUUCGUUUACAUAGUAAUCUAAAUCGAAAUUUCACGAAACUUUAAGAGAAAGUAGGGAACUUCUCAUAAUAUAACAUAUCCAAAUUCAGCUUUCGUCGGCAACAUGAGAAGUUAAAAUAUUUUUCAAAACCUCGCAGCGACUCGAUUUGGAAAGUAACCCAACGCAGCAUACUUAAGGUGGCAUAUAAAAUUCCAUAGAUAUUGGAUUGACAUGAUUUUGAGUUUAUUCAGUAGCUAAUCUAUGAGGCUAUUAAAUCCCACUAUUUUUGUCCAAAAAUCCCAAGUAACGAUUGAGUUACGGAUUUUUAAGUUCAAUGGCAGAAAAUGGAAUUUUCAGAAAACAGCAACACCAUGUUUACUUAAAGUGACAUAAAAUUUUACCGACAUCGAAUUGAUAUGAUUCCAAGUUUAUUCAGUAGCUAACUUAUGAGGCUAUCAAACACCAUUAGCUUUGUUCAAAAAUUCGAAGUAACCAAUUAGUUAUGAAUUUUUAAAAUCUGAGCAGAAACUGAAAUUUCUAAGAAAACAGUAACAUUAACUAGUUGACAUUUUUUUUUUUGUAGACGGUGUUUUGUAAGUAAAUUCUAGAUCACAUAUAUAUAUUUAAACAUAACCUAUUCAUAAGAAAAUAUUCGUAGAAAUAGUUUCAUAUACGAUGUCCAUAGAAAAGUAACUAAUAGGAAACACAAAUAUUUCAUAAUCAAUUUAAAGUUGUUAAUUCACCGACUUUUCCAUAUCAAAUUGCAUCUUCAACCAUCAUCAUCCGUACCCCCAACAAAAGAAAAAAAUCAACCUGUUAGAAGAGAUUUAACCCAUGAGUUUGAAACUCAAUAGAUAUCAUCAGUGCAUUUCGUAAUCAAAUUAGAAAAUUCAAACCAUGGAUUCCUACCGUCGCACGUAUAUCGAUUUCGGCAAAAUUUGAUAUCUAUAGCAUUAUUAUAACACGUAGAGCCGGAGAAUGAUCAUUCAAACUAUAGUAGUGCCGAAGUACCGUACCCGGAGGUACCAUUUCAUUCAACUUUUAACGAAAAAUCAAAUUUGAAGACGUAAUAAUACUUGCACCUCAACCUACCUUGAAUUUUCUUGGAUAUCAAAGAACAAAUGUGUAGAAAGUCUUUCUUCUUCUCACCCUUGUUAUUCCUUUAACUUAAAUUGACAUAAAAUAUAUUUUUUGAGAGAAAAUAAGAUGAAAUUCGAAUUUAAGGAAGGAUGUAGUGAAAAAGUGACAUUUCACUUCUUGUAGCCUUUCUUUUUAAUGAAAAACUAAAUAGGGGGAGUUGUAUUAUCAUAAAAUUUGUUAAAUUGGAUCUUUAACUAAAAAUUUGAAGAGUUUUUAAACCUAAAAAAAAUCAUAAAAAAGUUUUAUAAAAACGUCUACAUAGUGAUUUGAACCUCGGUUACCUAUAUGAAAUACCAUGUAGAUGAUCAUUGGGACAACCCAGUUAUUUAUUAAAUUUUUGUAAUCAUAUUUACUUAAACUUAAUAUCUUAAAUUGUUGGGCUUUUAAUUAAUUUAUGGCUUGGGCUUUCAAAAUCUUAAAUGGUUUGAGCUUCCACAACUCAUUUCUUGAAUGAGAUAGGCUCGUGGUGCUAGAUUAUCACAAUAUAAUAGCCUAAUUUCAUUUUAUUUCUCGAGCUUCUACAGUAUAUAUAUCAUUUUCCUAAUUUUUUUUCUAAUGUUAUAUAGUCGAUAGAAAAAUAGAGAAGUCAUCAAAAUUUUGUCAAGAAAAUCCAAUGGAAUAAAAUUUGUUUGAAGAAAAAAGAGUAUAACUGUUCUCCCUUAUUUCAAUUCCUAUAUCAUUUCAUCCUUGUCUUGUAUGACAAUGUCUUCAAUAUUAAAAUUUUUGGUGAAGUAUGUCUCAUGUUGUCUUGUAUAGUUUUUAAAAAACACUGUCUUUAUACGAGAUAUUUAUCAACAUUUUAUGAUUGUAGUAACAUGAUGAUUUGAAAAAUAGUUAUUGUAGAAAUCUUCAGAAGUUUCUUAUAUAUUAGACUAUUAUUUUGGGGGUAGAUGUUGUAUAGGUUAUAAACAUUUAUUACACAAAGAAUAUGCUUCUUUAAAAUUUUAUUAACAAAAAUUCUAUGGAAAAAAUAAUAAUGAAGGAAAUAUGGUACAUUAUUCUUUCAAGUACGCUAAAAAUUUUUUAUAAUUUGUUAUGUAUAAAUACUCAUCAAGAGUAUAUGCCUUUUUAAUGAGACCAUCUCCCAUAUAUGCUCAAUUUUCGUUUGGAGAUUUUUUAUGAACGUAAUCAUGCUUCAGGCAUGCCAUAAAUUUACCGAGUAUAAUAUUAACGAAUUGUCAUUUCAGGACGUCAAUUCGAGUUGGAGCAUUUUAAAGAUGUUGUAUGAGAUAUUGUUGAUUUCUUUGUUCAGUAAAUACAUCUAAAUAAAUUAUUUUUCAAACUUCUAUUUCGAAUGAUCUUUUGUGAGGAUUUAGGUAACAUAGUGAUGUAUUUGUACAUUUACUGCAGCUUCUUAAUUUCCCCCUAAUGCUGAGAAAAUUAUUCAAUUGAAUUGACAAUUAGCACACCGUGCUAUAAAACAUCACUUGUUUGAGAUAAAGGAUCAAAUUACUCAUUAAUUCUCAACAUUCUUUAUUUUCCAUCUCAAAACAUUAUAGUAUAUUAGUUUUUGAUACACUGCGUUAUCAAAAUAAUUUGAUGAAAAAAUUAAUCUUUGACCAUAAGCCAAGUUAUAGCAGAGAGAACUAUGAUGCUGACAUGAUAUGUAAUAGCAUUCUACAAAUAGAAAUAAGAAGUACUUUGUUCUCAAUAGUAAUGAUUCAUGAAUUAAUUUGGAGGCACUUAACAAAUAAUAGUUUCAAAUCAUUUAUUGUCAUCCCAACUAACACUUACUAAAAAAUUGAGAUUUAAGUUCACUAUCAUUAACAAAACACACUAUCUUAAUUCUAUAACCUGAAAAUCAUGCUCAUAAUUUAAAAUAUGAGCACAUCUAUUAGAUACAGAUAAUAUCUUUACGGUCAACAUAUAGGGUGAGGGAGCCCCAUAUAUCGCCCAAAUUAAUUUUCAGAAAUACAGAAAAAUUCGAUCUCUAUUUUAACUGGCGACGAUCAAGGACCAAUUUUCAAUAAGAGAACAAAUAUCAUAUAUGAGUUAUUUGGAUUAAAGAAUCUUUUGAUUCUUCGUUAAAUAUCCAUUUUAAUUAUCAUUUCGCAUCAUUAUUGAACUGAACAUGUCAAACAACGAAAUAUAAGAGCCAUUGAUUAAUGAUAGUAUUAAUACAUUACUCAAUUAUACUAAUGUGUAGUAUCAAUUAAUGAUAAAUAUUUUAAAAACAUAAUAUUUCAAUUUUUUCCAAAUUAGUACAGAACAAAUUACCACAAUAGUAAAAUUUAUCCGUACAUAUAACACAUUAUUGACUCUUUUGGAAUCUCAAAAUAACAUUUUUCAGGAAUAUUGAUAUAAAUAAGCUAUUGCUUCUUUAGAAGCAAUUUGAUUAAAACUACAAUUCUUCCAGAUCAAUAUGAUAUUUACAUUGAAAUAUCUAAAUUGUGAUUCUUAAAAAAUAAUUACAUAACAUUCUUCAAGAAUAUUAAUAAAUAUAAAAUUAUGCUCCUUUCAGAGCAUCACAACAUUCUUUCAGAAUAUUGAUUUGUAUUAAUUGAUUCAAACAAUUCUUCAUUAUUCAUUUGGAAUAUUUAAAUGUUUGAAUUGUAUGUCGUUUCAAUUUAACAACUAAUUAUUCUUCUACCAUAUUAAUUUAACAUAAAAGUGUGCUUCUUCUGUAACAGUAGGUCAAUAUUCUUUAGAAAUAGUGAAAAUUAUGAUAUCAUGCUCUUCAUGAAUAAUAAAAUAUUAUUGUUUAGAGUAAUAAAUUAAGUCAAGAUUUACUCUUCAAGAGUGAAAAGUAAUUCACGUUAGAUCUUUUGUGUAUCUCAUUCGUCUAAGUUGGAAACUGCUGCUACUGUUAGUCUGAAAUUUUUUAUUGUUGUUCUAUUUGCAUGUAGUGUGGAGAAAAAUUCAGUAGUUGAUGCAGAAAGACGGCUCUUAGCAAAUGCACUCAAUGAUCCUGAAAACCAGCAUUUUGUUCUACUCUCUGACAGGUGGAUGGGUGAUAAUGUCAUUGUUAAGUUCCUUCCCCCCACCCUACCACUCUCAUGCGACUGGUCCUUUCUUUCACUACGCAAAUUUUCUGAUCUGCAGUUGCAUAUCACUCAUAAACAUAUGGGAACAUGAAGACAGAUGGGAACAAGAUAUAAAACGACACUGCCGGUAUAUUUUCUGUAUAUGUUUAAGGUCAGUUUGGAGCAGCUGUAGAGCUUUUGGCAGUGGAACUUUUAUUAAAUAGAUUUUGACUGUUUGUUUGUGAAUCCAAAAAGUGCUAUGAAAAUUAAAUUGACUGGUUGGCACUUGGCAGUAUAACCAUAAAAGUGCUUUUGUAUAAUUUUUUAUUUAUACGACUUGGUUAGAGGUUAGAAAGUUUUUUCUUUGAUAUAUUAACAUAUAUAUUGUUGACUUUAAAUGGCUUCAUUAAAUGUAAAUUUCAACUUCAAUAAGCUCAAAAUUUGGGCUUUUUCACAAAAAUUAAUUUCGACUUUAGCCAAGCAGCCAAUAUUUUUUGCAAAAGAGGUUUUGACCUCGGGAAUGCUCUCAGGCUUUGGAAAACCCGUUCCAAACACACUCUAAGCUCUUAGAACAGUUAAAAAUUUGAGGACUGUACUAUUUGUAGUUAACAGCUAUGUUGUUAAUUACUGGACUUAUUCUUGACAUAAAUAGUUGCAUUGCCGAAUUUACCUUAAAUCGAAUAAAAAAGGAAAAAUCUUGUUUUACUGGUUUCCAACUGGUACAAAUGCAUGAUAACUGUUGGGAAAACACCUCCCAAAGAUUGCCCAAGAUCAAACAAACUUGCAAUGUGAAAAAAAAAAAUUCAAACCACUUCAAAGAUAAGAAAUUGGGGAAGAAAUGAUUUUUCAAUAUAUAUGAAGAACAAUGGAUUAGAUUACUUGAACAAGUCUCAAGUUAAUCUCCAAGAAAGAAAAAUAGUUUUGAAUUUAUACCCAAGAAAAACAAUCUUUUACUUGUUAAAUUCUCUCCAAACUUUUCUCUAAUUUUUCUCUCUCAAAACCGGACGAAAAAAUGAAGGAAAAAACAGCAAUAUAUAUAGAACUGAAUCGGGCGCCAUGGUGCCUGCCUCCCUGCACCUUUCUUUCUUGAAAGUGUCGAAUACCUCAUUCUUAUGCUUCAAAAAAUAAAUCCAAGCAUAUCUAGAAUAAUCAUCAACAAAUGUGACAAAAUACCUGGAACUGCCUUUGGAAGUGAUAGAAGCCGGACCCCAUACAUCCGUAUGCACAUAGUCUAGAAUACCUCUCUUCUAUGUUUGCUUGGCUGGAACUAAACUCGGUGUACUUUACCGUACACGCAAUGCUCGCAAAAAUUCAUGUAAGGCUUCUUCAAGUUCUUUAGCAAGCCUUUCUUGACUAGCAGAUCUAGCCCCUUUUCAGACAUAUGCCCAAGCCUCCUAUGCCAUAGCCGAGUGCACUCACAUGGGUCUCCACCACUUCCACUUGUUCCAACCACUAUAUCUUCUGUAACUGUAGUACCCUGAAGAGCAUAGAGAUUGCCUUCACGAAUACCCUUCAUCACAAUCAAAGAACCACGAACAACCUUCUUUACUCUAUUCCAUGUUACAAUCUUGCAACCACCGAAGUCUAAGGCACCAAUAGAGAUAAGGUUCUUCCGCAAAUCAGGAACAUGUCUAACAUCCAUCAAUGUUCUAACCACUCCAUCAUACAUCUUGAUUCUAAUUGAACCGAGCCCCACCGUUUUACAGGAAUGAUUAUUACCCAUCAACACGGUUCCACCAUCAGUGCUUCUAUAGGUAGUAAACCACUUCCUAUUUGGACACAUAUGAUAAGAGCAUCCAGAGUCAAGAAUCCACUUAUCGGAGAUUUCUUCAUCACAAGAGAUGGUGUAGCACUCAUCGCUUUCCCUUCCUUCCGAGGCAUAGCUAACCUCUUGUUUGACUUGCACCUUCCCGUUGUUGUUGUUCUUAUUGUUCUUCUACCAACCCCUUUUGUUAGUACAAUUUGCCUUGAAAUGCCCAAGCUCGCCGCAUUUGAAACAAGGCCUUUUCGCAAGAGGUCUAGAACUCGAUCUAGAUUUUUCUCUCUUGUCCUUUCGUCGCACAUUGCUUCUACCUCUUACAAAAAAUCCUUGAGCUUGCUCCUUGUUACCAAUGGUAGACAUGCCACUAGUUGCAAUCUUUCGAAGAUCAUCCGUUAGAAGUGACAUUCUAGUGUCCUCCAUCACAAAUUUAUCACCCACAAGCAUCAAUGUUUGUACUAGGUUCUCAUAAGACUUUGGCAACGAAAGAAGUAGUAGAAGUGCUUGAUCCUCAUCAUCUACUUUCACAUCAAUGUCCUUCAAGUCCGAUAUGCACCUAUCAAACUUGUUGACGUACUCCCGGAUUGGUGUACCUUCAUCCAUCUUGCAAGUAUACAAUUUUGACUUCAAAUAGAUCCGAUUAGUUAGAGUCUUCGUCAUGAAGUUCGUCUCUAGCUUUGUCCACACCUCCGCCGCCAUUUCCUCACCAUCAACCAAGAUAGCAACAUCUCUUUCAAGGCAUAGAAUGAUAGACGCUCGUGCCUCAAGAUCUAGCUCUUCCCAAUCCUCGUCAAACAUAUCUAUAUGCUUCUUCUCCUUUCCCGCCAAUGCCUUGUGCAACUUUUGAGAAAUUAAUAAAUUCUUCAUUUGCAUUCUCCAAUAUGAGAAGUCAUUCUUCCUAUUGAAUUUCUCUAUCUCAUACUUCCCAAUUUUCACUGUUCCUCUAGUAGACAUGAUUUAUCUACUUGUUUACCGAAAAUAAACCAACAAAGUUCACUUGAGAAUUUUCACAAACACCUUGUGUGCACAACAAAGUUCAAGCCAACCACCAAAAAUUGGAGUUUAACCACCCUGAUUUAAGAAGAUGCUCUAAUACCAAAUUGUUGGGAAAACACCUCCCAAAGAUUGUCCAAGAUCAAACAAACUUGCAAUGUGAAAAAAAAAAAAAUCAAACCACUUCAAAGAUAAGAAAUUGGGGAAGAAAUGAUUUUUCAAUAUAUAUGAAGAACAAUGGAUUGAAUUACUUGAACAAACCUCAAGUUAAUCCCCAAGAAAGAAAAAUAGCUUUGAAUUUAUACACAAGAAGAACAACCUCUUACUUGUUAAAUUCUCUCCAAACUUUUCUCUAAUUUUUCUCUCUCAAAAUCGGAUGAAAAAAUGAAGGGAAAAACAGCAAUAUAUAUAUAACUGAAUCGGGUGCCAUGGCGCCUGCCUCCCUGCACCUUUCUUUCUUACAAUAACUUUCUAACCUUUUCUGGAGAAGAAAAUCAAUUAUUGUCUAUUCUGUCCUCAGUGUUUAGGAGCUGAUAGAGCCAUGUUUAAUUGUUUGUUGUACUCGGUUCAUAAUCGUUCUUAGUUCCCAUGUGCCGGGAAGUGGGGAUUUACAUUUUGAUUGCAUUUAAUUUGAAUUUCUUUAUGACAGGAAAUAACUUUGAAUAUUGCAGUGGUUCAAAAUGAAACGGCAUCAUGCUGUUAUAACUAUUGCUGAUAAUCUGUACCAUACAAAAUUCAGGGAUUACUGCGAGGUGAAGAUAAUUUGUUGAAUAUUUAUAUCUUUUUUCUUUUCAACUUCCCAUCCUUCUUUCGGAUGCAACCCCGAGAUUGCACUUGAGCACUCAUAGCGGGUUUGAGUAUCCCUUCCGCCAUAUGAAGCUCAUUCAUCAGUCGUGGAAGUGACAUAGCCCUCUUUCUCAUAAGAUAACUAAUCUUGAAUGGAUUGAAAGAAUCUGGUAGCAUCUCAAGAACCAUAUCAGUCUGGAAAUUUGCAUCAAUCUUAGUCCCUAAGGUCUCCAACUUGCUAAAGAACACUGUCAAGGGAUAAAAAUCUCACAUUGGUUAAAUAUCGAAAUAUUGGCCAAUUUAAAAAGAUUUUGGGCUACUCCUCUUAACAAGAUCGAUCUUUUAAGAUAGAACCCCAAAUCUUAACAUGGUAUCAGAGUCCAUUAAGUUUCAACUAGCAAUUCGAUCCGAUUAAAACUCUAAAAAUGAGCACACAGAUUUCUCUACUUAAGCGAGCCACCAUCUUGCGGGGGCAUGUGAAGGGAUAAAAAUCCCAAAUAAGCUAAAUAUAGAAAUAUUGACCAAUUUAAAAAGAUCUUGGAUUACUCCUCUUAACAAGGUUGACCUUUUAAAAUGGAAACCUCAAGGCUUAAAAAGCACCAUCAUUUUAAUCACGUGCUCCUAAAAGGAGUUUCCUCAGACAUCUUAGUGUUUAGGAUAGUCCUCAAGGCAGACAGGCCGGUAAGGCGACCUGUGUUAUCAGACAUCUUGUACUAACUAAACAACUAAUCUGAAGCAAUGGAAAAUUAUUACUUCUAAGUUCUAAGUAUGAAAUUUGUUUUACGUAUUUUUUUUUUACAGAAAGUACACAUUUUCUAACUUUGCAAUAGAAUGUAAAAUUCAAAACAGUUAUAGCAGGUUAAGAUAUCCACGAACAUCUCAGACGCUUUCGUCUCUGGAAAAUGUAAAUAAUAGACAAUGAGACAAACAAUUUUGAAGUACGAUAUAUAUUGCAUACAUGUGACCUUUAAUUUUGAAACUGGACGAUUAAUGAUAAAUUUCUAUUGGGAAAAUUAAAAAGAAGAGAAAAAUUAAUUACAUAUGGCCGGUCUCCGAUCGCCGAUCGCCAGUAGGCCUGCCGUUGAAAUUUGCUGAGUUUUUGUUGGAGAAGAAAGGUUUUAGCUUCAGUAUUUCUUAUUGCAACUGAUAUAUCAUAUUGUAUACCUAUAAGGAUUUUAGUGUUUGCAUGUAUUUAAAACAGCCAAAAGAUGAGUUUGUUCGAAAGAAGGAAAUUAUGCCAGUUACUUUGCUUGCUUUACGAGUUGGAUAAUUGGCGAAAAACCCAUGACUGUUGACUUAAUUACUAAAUGCUCCAUAUCUUUUUAUUUUAGUAGAAUACCCUCCUAGAUGACCUUUUCGUGCUGAAGACGCCUAUAUCGUCCAAUUUUGUUAGUUAAGAUAGUAAAAAGUAGGAAAAAUGGGGCAAUAAUAUAAGGGUAAUUGGCAGAUUAGCCCCGUAACGUUACAUAUUUGGUGCAAUAUCUCCUAACCUUUCAUUUUGACACAAAAACCUCUAAUAUCCUUUCAUUUUGGUGUGAAACCCUCCUAACUAAAAUAUCACGUGUCUAACUAAAAUAAAUAAAUAAAUAAAUAUAAAUAAAUAAAUAUAUAUAUAUAUAUAUAUAUAUAUUGAAAAGAUCACUACAAAAAAAGGGCUCCACCAACCAAAGGUUUAGCGACCAAUAAAACAUGGUUGCUAUAAAACACAUUCAGCGACCAACUAAUGGUGGGUAUAGGUUUUGGUCUAGUAAAAUUGGACAAAUUUUGUUAUGUUCUAUUGUGACCAAAUAUUGGUAGCUGUUUCAGAGAAUUAGGGACCAUACAUUUGAUUGGUUUGUAAAGGUAGUGAAGAAAAGAAUAAAAAAAAUUCUGCAUAUGAUACCUACUCUAGCGACCACUGAAUGGUCCUAGCUUCCAGUCUUCUACAACCGUCUAUGUCAUGGUCGUUAAAAUGUUUGGCGCAAUUUUAUCCCGCUUUUUUUCAUUUGGUUUUUGUAUGUUUAGCGACCAAAGGCGAUGGUUGCUGACACUACACCACAAAAGCGACCACUGAAUGGUCUUAGAUCUUGGUCUUCUGCAACCAUCGAUGUCAUGGUCGCUAAAAUGUUUGGAGCAAUUUUAUCCUGCUUUUUUUUCUUUUGGUCUUUGCAUGUUUUAGCGAUCAAAGGCGAUGGUUGCUGACACUACACCACAAAAGCAACCACUAAAUGGUCCAAGAUCUUGGUCUUCUGCAACCAUUGAUGUCAUGGUCGCUAAAAUAUUUGGUGCAAUUUUAUUCCGCUUUUUUUUCGUUUGGUUUUUGCAUGUUUUAGUGACUAAAGGCAAUGAUUGCUGACACUACACCACAAAAGCGACAACUGAAGAGUCUCUGAAUCCUAGUCUUCUGCAACCACUCAUAUCCUGGUCGCUAAAAUAUUUGCCGCAAUAAAAUCCUGCUCCUUUUCAUUUGAUUUUUGCAUUUUUUAGCGAACAAAAGCGAUGGUUGUUGAAUACUACACCAUAAUAGUGACUAUGGAAUGGUCCCUGAUACUAGUCUAUUGCAAACACUCAUACCUUGGUCACUAAAAUAGAUAGCACAAUUUUAUCUCGCUUUUUUUCAUUGGUUCUGGCAUUUGGUAGCAACUACUAAUGAUGGGUGCUGAAUAUUGUACCACUCCAACGACCAAUGAAUGGUCCUUGAUCCCAGUCGUCCGCAACCACUCCUAUCUUGAUAGUUAAAAUAGUUGGCAGAAUUUUAUCUCGCUUUUUCAUUGGUUUUGAAAUGGUCGUUGAGCCCAGAUCUCUUCAACCAUCGAUGUCGUAGUCGCUAAAAUAUUUGAAACAAUAAAAUCCAUGUUUCUCUUUCAAUUAAUUUUGUUAUUUUCUAGUGAUCAAUUGAUGUAGAUCGAGUUUACAAAUACACGAUACUAACAACUCAAACGAAUUGAACUUAAAAAACAAACGUUUUCUUAUUUCAUGAAAAACCAAAAGACCUAGGAGACGUUUCAAGGUUUUAAAUACGAAAAGAACAAAUAUCCUACUGGGUCAACAGUCCUUUAAUGAGCUAGGCUACAAAGCGAGAAUAACAAAUACUGAGAAUAAUAAAGUAAGAAACCUUAAAUCUAGAAUCAUCGUGAGCUUUCCGAAAUUGGGUUAUAGGCCCAAAAUGGACACCGUAUGCAAAAGUUACGCAAUUUUUUUGAAACGCUGAUCAUCUAAGUGUUUCAUAUAUGAAAGUGUCUAUUCCUCCACACGAACCUCAUCACCAAUAUUAAUUGUUGCUUUGUGCUGAAUCUUGUAGGGUUGGUUUUAUAGGCCACAACCCGAUUGACCCCGACCACUCUACACAAGAUAUCUACUCGACCAAAUUGCAUUAUUAAUGAAAAUGGACCGGAUCACAAUACAACAAAAGAAAUAUUUUGUAACCUACAAAAACUAGAUUCCCUAAUAUUUCUAAUUAAUUCUAAAUAAAUAGAGUUAAAAAUUGAAAAAAUCUAAUUCCAAAAUUAAUCAACCCAAAAAAAUACCAGUACAAAGCUAUACUCCCCUUGCAUAUUUAUUUCAUAUUUGAACUAAUUCAACUAUACAUUUCAUCAAUUAUAAUUUUAAUUUAGAGAUUAAAAUAUAUAGAGAAUUGAUUUUAAUUCCAAAAUUAUAAUUUUAAUUUCCAUUAAACAUAGCCCUAAAAACAUAGCCCAAUUACAAUUGAUUUUCAAAAUAACUAAAUCUAUUAACUUUCCAUGUAAAAGGCAGAGGAAACGCCAUAACCCACGUCCAGAGUUCUACCCUUCUCCACAUCUUCUUCUUCGAGCUGUUGCCACUGCCAUUGCAUCUCAGUAAUCCACAAUUACUUGGUCCAGUGUUCGACACGAGCAGCUGCCGUUGCAUCUCUGAUAUAACUACUUCUCUGUAUACAUAUAGUCGGCUUCUUUCACUCGUUUUUCAAUAUGAUUACUAGUUCUCUCUGUACAUAUAGUCGGAAAUAUCUUAGCCCUAUUUCUUGAUUGUGUAUUUAUAAUUUUUCAUUCGAAAUAUCUAGUAUCACUAGUUGUUUUAUAGAUAGUCAGCCACUAUCAGGUAUCACUCGUUGUUUUACAUUGAUUGUAAAUUUUGAAUGACGCUGGAAGAUUAUUUGUUUCUAUCUUUUUACUGUGGGUUUAUCUAGUAAUACAGUCGGGUAAGCAUUGCAAUAAGGAUUAAUUCAUUAGCAUCUACAGAUUUGUUUGUGGGUUCUUUUUUACUUUUUAACACCUAAACUAAAGAUAUUAGACGGUAGGGGGUCUUUUGUAUGAAAUAUGUUAUCUAAGGAGUAUUCUACUAAAACGAAAGGAUAUGAAGGUAUUCCAUAAUAGAAGCAAAAGUAAAUUCUAAAUUUGUAAAUUCACCUUUUUUAUUUUAAAAAAUACUUAAAAUAAAACAAAAUUAGAUUUUCAAUUCAAAACAGCAAAUUAGUAAUAUAUGGUACUUGUAUUUAGCACCAAUCUAUGUAACACAGCUUUAUUAAAUACAUAUAUAAUGCAAUGUAAAAAUAUGAGUCUCAUUUUAUUGAACAUAUAGUUUAACGUCACGAUGUUGUGGUAUCUGUAUUGCUAAGUAGCAUACACUAAACCAAAUUGUAAUUGAAGUUUGCAAGGCUUCGGUGGAUUUUAAAAUUACACCACUUUCGAGUAGUUAAACUAUCAAAUUAUUGGAUGAUCGACUUGAGUGUUAAGUCAUUUGAUCAAGUCGUAUUGUUUAUUAAGUACAUGUAUGUUAUAUUGAGCGUCUAAGUAAUUCAGAAUUCGAGAUCGUUUAUGUUGAUACCUAGAUGCACCAUUCGAGAAAGGGCUCUUUGGCAAUGAGAGAAUAUCGAUACGUAUAUGUGAACAAUAUGAAUAAUUUUUCUUGACUUGUAGUAUUUGAAAUUUUAUGUAAUUCAAAGUCUACCCACAUCACUUUAUCAUGAAACUUUAAGCAUGUGGUCAUCAACUUCUUAAUCAAGAAAUUCAUCAUCCUCUCUUCUGAAACAUUCUAACAAUAUAGAAAUAUCACUUUCUGUCUUUGAACCAUUCUGCACAUUUGGGAUCCUCAGGACUAUAAUAACUCCCAACUUUUUGAAGAUUUUGUUCUAAUACUAAAUUGACAAUCCUUUUGAACAACGAUGACUAAGCCACUGGCUACUGUAAGGCUUCAAGCUACAUAUGUGUUAACCAUAUAGUAUUUCGACAUGAUCUGGAAGUAACAACAAUUGGAGCCGGGGGAACUUGUGAUCCGGUAAGCAUUCCCAUCCACUUUCCUUGCUGUGAGGUACUGUAAAAUGCUUGGGAACCCAAUUUUCAUCUUUUAGCUUUCUUUCUUUUGCAACCUCUCUCUGCUUCUCCUCGACUGCGCUCUUUGCUUUCAUGGCUUUAUCCCAGUACUUCUGUAGAAUAGCUUGGCUCACUUGGACCCAUAUUACAGUUGAUUCACUCAGAAGAAUGCCCUAAAGCGUUAAAAUCAGAGUUUUAGAAUCACAAGUAAAUAACCAAAUAAUAUAUGCACCAUUCUGACACCAGAACUCGAAUAUCUUGCUAAUAACAGUUGAAUAGACAUCCGAACAUUCACUCCUUUCCAAAUAAAUGAAUUAGCUUCCAUUUUUGUUGACAGAGCAAGUUAUGCUUAGCUGGUUUGGAUUAACUGUCUACAAGCUUAAUUGGAAAUAUCACUGUGCAUGAUAAAGAAAACUAAGAUAAAAUUAGUAAUAAUCUACCUGAAAAUUCUAAUGUAUUAACCAUAAUAUUAACAAUUAAGAUUGUCAGCUACAUCAAACCAAGAGAACAAGCAACUAUUUUUAGUUACACUUACCUUUGGUCAUUGACAAUAGGAGUCCUCGGUCCUGAAAUAGCUUCCUUUGCGUUGUAGAUGAUCAUGACUCUUUCACUGGUGUAGGAAAAUUGUAGCAUGCUUUAACAUGAAUUUCGGGUCAACAAACUUACUUGAAAUGAUGAAUUUCAAGAUCUUUGUGUGGUUGAAUCACCUUGCUUUCAAAUCUCCAAAAUUUGUAUUUUCUUGUACUUGAAUGAUCCAAAUCCCGAUUACAAUGGAAGGGGAUUAUUGUCCUCAAUCUAAGUGCUAUUCUUGUGAGAUUUCAUGCCAAAAAUGUGAUUCUAGGAACUUUCCAAUUUUGAGGUGAUUUUCCAUACGAAUUUUUUCACCUUUUUUUUCAUGUCUUCCAUUUUCCCCCUCUUUUCCAUAACUUCUAUAUGGAAGUUUCAAGUGAUUACUUGGGAGUCAUGGGUUUAAAUUCUAAAUUCAAACCAUUCCCUCCAACCCUUUUAAAAUCCUGCAGGUUGGGACACCCCACAUGGGCGACCCAUUAUCCAUAUUUUCCAACAUCUCCCACUCACACAUAAUGGGGUUGAUCCGAGCCACAAAUAACAACGAAUAUCACAACUUAGAUCCUUCUGAAGAUCUAUCUCACAAAGAUUCAUACGGCAAAUAGAUCGUGCGACCAGCGAGUAAUAUUAGAGCUCACGGUACUAGAAACCUGUUAGGGAUAUAUAGUAGCUCUACUAGAGGAGGAACAUCACAUCUCGCUAUGCCCCAAACUCAUUUUCCAACAUUAAUUCAAGUAUUUCCAAUCCCUCGAGUGUUUGUGGAACAUACUUGAACUCCGCAUCAUAUCAUUGUAUUCACAAUUGAAUUCUAUAUCCCAAAUGGUUAAACACAAUUGUCCGGCCGGUGAAUACAAACAUAAAUGUUGGUCAAAAUAGUUUUCAUUUCCUACUUGAAUCCUUUGAUUUUAAAUCAACUGCUUUCCUACACAUGCCCCAUCAAACCGAAUCAAUCAUAGUUAUCGGCAACAUGCUAAAGUAGCAACAUUGAAAUAAAACCUCAAGAAAGAGUCUAAAGUCAUAAGGGUAUAUAUGAGGUUACAUAAACCUCAAGGUCUCACAAAAUGAGGAAGCAGGGAUCCAUUCACUCAUUUACACAAUAUUGGUCGUAAAAGUACACGCGGUAUGAAACACGUGCUACGAUGUUUUCUCCCUUUUUUAGGGCGUACGUCAUAUUCUUUGUAAACAAAUAACAUCGUACAGAUUCUAGUUCAAGUAUUCCUUGAUACCUAACUUGAGUUCUCCUUAUGUUCAUUCCUCCAGGCAUUCUCAAAUCGAGAACUCGAUCUGACUACUAAACGGGUUUAAUGGAUAGUGAAAUCCAUUUCGAUUACUUGUUGUAAUAUCAUCUUAAUACCUUAUCAAAGUGACUGGAUCAUGUAAACAAAAUGAUCACUAUCAAGGUAACUGGAUCAUGUACACAACAUAAUCACUGUGUCUCAUCUCAGCACAUCUUAAAAGAUCUGAGACGAUUGCUUGUGUGAAUAAGCCAAUCUCAAUCUGUUCGACAUACUUUAUAUGUGUACACAAAUCAUUUAUCUUGUAAUCCCAACAUUAGAUUACACAUGAACUAAAAAUUGUUCAUUUAUGGGCACACAAAACUCAAUCAAAAGUUUGUCUGAUACACCAAAUAUCAUACUCUACGAAAUUCUAGAGAUUCCAUAUUAUCAAGAAAUAUAUCUCUAUACAUCUUCGGAGUAUGAUGAUUACAUAUCAUCAUUUACGUAGAUAUAUCGCCACUACACUUUCUUUGCUAAUGUCUCUCACAUAAUUACCAUUAAGUGUUUGGUUCUAUCUUGAUACUUGAGAUCUUAACAUAUAAGAUAGUUGCGUAACUAUCAUGGAUCUCUUAUUCUUAACUAGUAUCAUUAGAUACUCAAUACACCCAUACCAAACAAUUUCUUUAGCUGCCAAGAUAUACAUAACAACAUAUGCUUCUUGCUACUCUAUAUAGCAAAAGCGGACAAGUCAAAUAAUCAAUUGUGCUCGAUUAACUCUCAUUAUUAAUCAACAAUAAUAAGUUAUUUAUUUGACAACGAAAUAGAAUAACUGACAGCAGCACCCUCGGGUAUCACAAUACAUUUUCUAAAGAUAAUAUUGAUACCUAAUGAUUAGAUCCAUGGCAUGACCAUUGUUAGGAAAAGUAUAUAUCAUAAUAUACUUUUAUCUUCUAACUCUUAAUCGUACUAGAUAUGGUUCUCUAGAUAUUUCUUUGUGCACUCAUGAAGUCUUUGGACAUUUAUGAAGACUUAUAUGGUCACAGUUGCAAUUCCACAUGAGCAUUUAUACUAUAAAACUCUUAUGAUAGAGCAAGAACAUACAAAAAUUAUUCUUAGCACAAAUCAUACAAUUUACUAAACUCAUGUCUUUUGUCUCAAAAAGUGACGACAAUCAUUUCAAAUUGGUCUCUAUAUACUCCUUAUCAUGCUUGGCCAAUCCAAUGUCAUCAAUAUCAAUAUUAGAAUUACAACCUACCAUCAGACCUUUUAUACAAAUACAUUAAUUUUCGUCCAUAUGACGAAAUUCUUGUACGAGAUUUAACUCUGUUAAAAACUUAAGUACGACUGUCGAGAUGACUGUAUUUGGCCAUGCGUGUAACUGUAAAGUUACCACAAUACAGAAAAAAGCCUUUAACAUGAAAUCUAAAAGUCGAUUCAUGUUGAUAUCUUUAAUCAUUUCUCAAUUGAGAAUAAAAAAUACAGUCUCUAUGUCGAUUUGAUGUAACUCUAAAUUUAAACAUACCAUCAUGGCUAGCAUUGAUGUAUAGAAGUGAAUCUCAUUGUUAUGAAAAAUUUUAUCCAACUCAAUAAACUCACAUUGAGUAUAACCUUUUUAAAAAAUGAGCUUUAUCUAUCAAAAACUCAUUAGUCUUCCACUUAACUUUUAAGAACCUGAAUGUUAUCAAUAAACAUAAUGUUCGAAUAGAACUUUCACCAAAUCCCAGAUUAGGUUAAAAUUCUAUACUUCAUGUAUAUACUUUCAUCACUUUUCCAAAAUUCAUCUUCUGAUUUUCUGAACUUGCUCUUAGAUGCAACUUGGACCCGAGAAUCAUUAAAUUAGAUAGUUCUUGGAUGGCUCCCACUCGGAUAGAUAGCUCUCAUCAGAACCAAAAAUCAUUGAUAUUAAAUGGUUCUUAGCUCCCACUCAGAUAGAUAGGUCAAACUCAGAAACAAAUUACUUCCACUUGAAUGAAAAGUUUGAAUAUUCACUUGUAUAUUCAAUACUGAUUCAUCAAUACAUAUAAUAUCAAUUUCAACGAUAUUCUCCAAUCUUUUUCUCCCUUAUUGGGAAAAAUGUCAAAUGUAAUAUCUUAUGACUUGAUAUCCAUCCAAGAAUUUCACUUAAGUACCUUUUUGGAGUACAUGUAUGUCAUUGAGACACAUCUUGUUCUUAACAGACUCAUGUUCCUAUACUCAUUAUCGAGAACAUAUAUGGUCAAUUAAGAGUGUAUGAUAACCCACAUUAGAUUAUUUAUGUGUCCAAACUUAUAUAUUAUGAAGUUACCAACAUUGAGAAAGCUCCAUUAACUAAAGUGUUGUAGUUAGGCAACGCUCUUUUCAAAAGCAAAUACGUAAGUUGGACUGUAUAUCUCAAACCUCAUCACAUUCAGCAAUAUUUCGUUCCUUCAAUCAAAUACACCAUAUAAUUAUUGGUGAUUGAGGAAUAGUCUAUCAAAUAAGAAUCUCUUUCAUUGCAUAGAUCAUUGAUACCUCGUGAUAGAGAGUCAUGACAUCAAAUAAUUCUCAAAGUCUUCACUUCCACAAUCUGAUUUUCUACUUGACUUCAGAAAAAUCUAAACCAGUACAAAAUCUUCAAUUUAAGAAAAUCAUAGACGUAUCUGAAAUGCAUGAAUCUAUCUAUAAGUGUAAUGAAAAGUAAAGUUCCAUCUCUAUCUCUUUUAAUCACACUCCGCAAAGAAAUUUGGAUGGAUUUAUUCUACGAAAAUUUAGCUCUUACAGUUUUGAAUGGUUUUCUCAACUCAAAACCUCAAACAAUUGCACAAAUUUCCAGAACCAUAAUAAACAUCACCACUGUGAGUAUGAACAGAAAUACCACGCAUAAGUUCAAGUAAGAGACCACUCUUAGAAGAACAAUAACUGAGAUCAAAUUUACUAGAGUCUUUGAUAUUAUCUUAAUAUCAAAUAGGAGGUCAAUUUCUCCACUUUGCAAUACUAAAUUUCAGUAUCAGUCAUAUAAACAUCCACUCCAUCUUUAUUAUUUGUAUAUAUCUACUUUGUAUCAAGUCAAAGACUCGACAAUAGAAUAAUAUACCUUUUGAUCUCAUAUAAAGUGAGUUUCUAACCUUUGAAUCUACUAUCCACACAAGAUAGAUCCAAUAUAUAUAGUGUUGACAUGUAAACAACACUAAAAAGAAUAUAUUCAACUGCAAUAUCUUUUAGCUUAACCACUUUCGAGCUAAGAGAUUCAAAUCGUAUAAUUGAAGCACUUGAACCUUUAUAACAUUGAUCCUUUAUCAAAACCAUUUUCAUUCACUUACUAUCUGAUAGGUCAUCUUGGUCCCUUUACCAGUCUCCCACUCUAUCCCGCAUUUGUUCUAGCUCAUUCAAUACUUAAGAUUCAAAAUUUUAUGCAAGCUAGAAUAUUGCUACACAAGCACGUCCGAUAGAGUGAAUAAGAUUGCAUUUUUAAUGCUGAUUGCUCAUGAUUAUUUGCUAAUAUACAAGUACAUUUGGGAUUAAUAAUGAUAUUUUUAUAUAGUUGAAUGAAGGUCAAUCCUAAUUGUGGUGUUUGCAAUUUUAUUGUAGAAAUGGAGCCCAACAAUAACAAAGUUCAAGGCCCAUAAGAGAGGACUCAAUUCAAGUGGACUUAACCCAACCCAGUCAAAAUAAAAUAGAUUGGAAAGAUUAAUGAAGGGAGCAAAAUCUGUGGAAGACGUCUCUAGCUGUGAAGAAAUCCCGAAUUGGAAACACAUAUAUAAUGCCCUUCGUAUUUUCACCAUAUCUCCCCCCACCGAUGUCGUAUUGAGCUGAUUCAAGAGGCCCUGGAAAGCUAAUUUAAUGUGCUACAAUUUCUCCUGAAAUAGAGAUUUUGAAAUUCUCACGUUUUCUAAGUGAAAAACGGCUCACAAUCCAAGGCUAUAAAAAUCUGCUAAAUUGAAGAGGCGAAUUCGGAAUUGAUUCUUUCUUUUCUUGGUGAAGAUGGUUUGAAAGAAAAAAAGAAAGGAGUGGAAGAGGGAAAAAAAAAAAAAAGGAGAGGAUGACCAAGAAGGCUGGGAAUACUUACAAUUAAUUCAAUUAGGAUAUUCACAUAUGAGUACUUAUGGUGAAUCGAAAACUCUAGAGUAUUGUUUUCUUGAUUUUAACUUGCUUGUUCAAUUCAUCUUAGUUUAAACUUUUUGGUUUAAUAAUUCAUUUACAUUCGAAUUGUCAAAUAGAUCAUCAUUUAAUAAAUUUUGAUAAUUAUUCGUAAUUUUUCAUUCCUCCUGGGACGAUACUCUUACUCAUUCACUUUAUUACUUGUUACGACUCGUGCACUUGCGAUUUCAACCAAAAAGUUUUUGUCGCCGUUGCCGGGGAUUUUAGAUAAAAUUAUUGAUAAUAUCAAUACUAGUUAAAUUUGAUCUAACUUGAUUUUUUUUCUAGGUUUUGCUUAGUGCAUGAGAAGCAAAAAGAGCUUGGAACUGCUGCCUUAUGAUCCAGAAAUUGAAAAAACAGCAAAAAGACUGAGGAAAAAGAAGCAAGAAGCUCGAAAAAAUUCAAACACUAUGGCAGACAACGAGAAUCCAAGACGUGACACACGAGCUCUAAGGGAUUUUGCUCUACCACAGGUCAUAGGAAUCAAUUCAGUCAUCAGGAAACCUAGUAUUGUAGCCAUCAACUUUGAGAUUAAGCCAACUAUCCUACAAAUGAUCCAAACAUCAAUUCAAUUCCAUGGAUUUUCGAGUGAUGAUCCCAAUGCCCAUAUAGCAAGUUCUCUGGAAGUUUGUGACACCUUCAAGCAAAAUGGUGUUACUGAUGAUGUCAUUCGCCUCCGGCUAUUUCCUUUCUCUCUUCGAGAUAGAGCAAAAAGUUGGCUAAAUUCAUUACCUGCAGAUUCAAUCACUAGUUGGGAAGAUUUAGCUCAGAAGUUUCUAGCUAAAUUUUUUCAACCAGCCAAGACAACAAAGAUGCGCAAUGAAAUUUCAAAUUUUUUCUCAAUUGGAGGGUGAAACACUUUACGAGGCUUGGGAGCGAUAUAAAGACCUACUUAGGCGAUGCCCUCACCAUGGAUUGCCGAAGUGGAUGCAAGUUCAGAACUUCUAUAAUGGACUUGCAGCCUCAACAAGAACUCUAAUAGAUGCCGCUUCAGGAGGAGCGUUUAUGGGAAAAUCCCUAGAUGAUGCAUAUGAUUUGUUGGAGGAGAUGGCAAUGAGAGAGAAUUUUACUGAAGAAAGUAGUAGGAGUGCAUAAAGUUGAAGCUAUCACUACCUUGACAACUCAAGUCCAUAAUCUUACUCAACAAUUGAAGGCCAACCAACUGACAGCAAAUACCAUUCACUUGACACCACCAGCUUGUGAUUUUUGUGAUGGAAACCAUCCGAGUGAAGAAUGUCAAGUGGAAAAUCCCUUCUUUCAAUCCCAAGCGGAGCAAGCACACUUUGUUGCCAAUUACAAUCGGCAAAACAAUUCAUAUAGUACAACAUACAAUCCUGGAUGGAAAAAUCACCCCAAUUUUUCAUGGAAUAAUCAGAAUGUAUUGAAACCUCUACCUGGUCCAUCAUCUAGUGAUCCGUCGAAAGAGAAGUCAGCACUUGAAGAAGCAAUGGCAUAAUUAGCAACUAACGCCAAUAGAUUCAUAACAGAGACUAAGACCAAUUUUCAGAAUCAAGCGGCUUCGAUAUGGAAUUUAGAAGUCCAGGUCGGUCAAUUGGUUAAUAUGCUAACUGGGAGACAACAAGGAAACUUACCUAGCACGACUGAAGUGAAUCCAAAGGAAUAGUACAAGGCGAUCACUUUGAGAAAUGGAAAAGAGUAGAAGCUCCAAUUACUGGUGAAAAGUUUGAAAAAGAAGAUCAAGAGAUGCAACUCCACACACCAAUGCUUAGCGAGGAGAUUUUUGACAAUCAACCAAUCCCACCACAGGAUCUAGCACCAAAAGUUCUAUUUCCUCAACGACUCAAAAAGAAUAAGCUUGAUAAGCAAUUUUCUAAAUUUUUAGAUGUGUUUAAAAAAUUGCAUAUUAACAUUCCUUUUGCAGAAGCUCUUAAACAAAUGCCAAGCUAUGUGAAAUUUAUGAAGGACAUCUUGUCAAAUAAGAGGAGAUUGGAAGAAUAUGAGACAACAGCCCUUACUGAAGAGUGCAGUGCAAUUCUACAAAAGAAAUUGGGAUCCAGGGAGUUUUACUAUCCCUUGUUCAAUUGGAAAUUCUAUGUUUGAAAGAGCUUUAUGUGACUUAGGUGCAAGUAUUAAUCUUAUGCCUUUGUCUAUUUUUAGGAAACUUGGACUAGGUGAGGUGAGACCUACUACAGUAUCAUUGCAAUUAGCGGAUCGCUCAAUAAAACACCCAAGAGGAAGUAUUGAGGAUGUGCUUGUUAAGGUGGACAAGUUUAUUCUUCCAGCCGACUUCUUCAUUCUAGACAUGGAAGAGGAUAGGGAAAUUCCUAUCAUUCUUGGCAAACCAUUCUUAGCUACUGGCCGAGCUCUAAUUGAUGUCCAAAGGGGAGAAUUGCGGUUGAGAGUACAAGAAGAGGAGGUAACCUUUAAUGUUUUUGAUGCCAUCAACUAUCCGGAUACAAGUGAGAGUUGUUUCAACAUCCGAGCAAUCGACUCUUUGGUCACUGAAGUAUUUAACCAACAAAAGGAGUCGUUGGAAGUUUUUUUGGUUAAUCCCAAUCCGACUAUGGUGGAGGAUCUAGAAGUGUUAGAAUAUGCUUUGUGAAUGGAUUCUUUUGGUCCUAACCGCAGAAAAUAUUUUGAAGAUCAGGGACAUGGAACAUCACGGCCCCUUCCAUCUAUUGAGAAACCACCCGCAUUGGAGUUUAAGCCCUUACCUGAACAUCUUCAAUAUGUGUAUCUUGGUGAAUCAUCUACUCUUCCGAUAAUUAUUUCAUCCAAGCUUUCAAUUGAAGAAGAGGAAAAGUUGUUAAGAGUGCUUAGAGAACAUAAGGCAGCUAUUGGAUGGACACUUGCAGAUAUUAAGGGAAUUAGACCUUCUAUUUGUAUGCGUCGAAUUUUGUUGGAGGAAGAUUGCAAGCCAACGGUGGAGCAUCAAAGAAGACUCAAUCCGAUAAUAAAGGAAGUGGUGCGUAAAGAGGUCUUAAAAUGGUUUGAUGCCGGAGUGACUUACCCAAUUUCUGAUAGCUCAUGGAUCAGUCCUGUGCAAGUAGUACCAAAAAAGGGAGGAAUGAUAGUGGUGAAGAAUGCUAACAAUGAGUUGAUCCCUACAAGAAUAGUUACUGGGUGGAGAUUUUGCAUGGAUUAUCGAAAAUUGAACAAAGCCACUCGGAAGGACUACUUCCCCUUGCCAUUCAUUGAUCAAAUGUCGAACAGGCUAGCUGGGCAUGAGUACUAUUGCUUCCUAGAUGGCUAUUCGGGGUAUAAUCAAAUAGCCAUAGCACCAGAGGACCAAGAGAAGACCACAUUCACAUGCCCUUAUGGCACUUUCGCCUUCCAUCGAAUGCCAUUUGGACUUUGCAAUGCGCCAGCCAUCUUCCAAAGGUGUAUGAUGUCAAUCUUUUCAGAUAUGGUAGAGCGGAUUAUUGAAAUUUUCAUGGAUGAUUUUUCUAUAUUCGGAUCGUCUUUUGAUGAUUGUCUUGGGAAUUUGGCGUUAGUUUUGAAGAGAUGUGAAGAAAUUAACCUUGUACUUAAUUGGGAAAAGUGUCACUUCAUGGUAAAAGAGAGAAUUGUCUUGGGUCAUCGGAUCUCUUCAAAGGGGAUUGAAGUGGAUAGAGCAAAAAUUGAGACAAUCGAGAAGCUUCCACCACCAACAACAAUAAAAGAAGUACGGAGCUUUCUUGGACAUGCCGAAUUUUAUAGAAGAUUUAUUAAAAACUUUUCCAAGAUCUCCAAACCCCUUUGUAGCUUGCUUGUGAAAGAAACACCUUUAGUGUUUGAUGAAGAAUGUGAUAAGGCGUUCUUGCUACUAAAAGAGAAGCUUUUGUCGGCUCCGGAUUGGGAUCUACCGUUUGAAUUGAUGUGCGAUGCAAGUGACUAUGCGGUUGGUGCAGUAUUGGGACAACGAAGGAACAAACGGUUUCAUACCAUUUAUUAUGCUAGUAGAACCCUUAAUGAUGCCCAACUCAACUAUGCCACAACUGAUAAGGAACUUCUUGCUAUAGUCUUCGCUUUUGACAAGUUUCGACCAUAUCUCAUUGGGAAUAAAGUGAUAGUCUACACUGAUUAUUCCGCAAUAAAAUACCUUAUCAUGAAAAAGGAAGCCAAGCCAAGACUCAUCAGUUGGGUUCUCUGGCUACAAGAAUUUGAUAUUGAGAUUAAAGACAAGAAGGGAAUUGAAAAUAUGGUGGCAGAUCAUCUCUCACAGCUAGAGUCACAGGAGCAACUUGAGUCCCAACAACUGCCCAUAGAUGAUAAAUUCCCGGAUGAGCAACUUUUAGCUAUUUCUUCUAGCAAUCCUUUACGAUGGUAUGCAGAUUAUGUCAAUUUUCUUGCAGGAAAAAUCAUUCCCUCCGACUUUUCUUAUCAACAAAAGAAGGAAUUUCUGUCGGAAGUAAAGCAUUACUAUUGAGAAAAACCAAUACUCUACAGGCAUUGCGUGGACCAAAUAAUCAGGCGAUGUGUUCUAGAAGAGGAGAUGACAGAUAUUUUGAUGCAUUGCCAUACACUAGAAUGUGGAGGGCAUUUCGGACCUCAUCGGACAGCAGCUAAAGUUCUCCAAUCCGAAUUUUAUUGGCCAACAUUGUUCAAGGAUUCUCAUACUUUUAUUGCCUCUUGUGAUAGAUGCCAACACUCUGGGAACAUAUCUAAAAGAAAUGAAAUGCCUUUAUAGAAUAUUCUAGAGGUGGAGUUGUUUGACGUUUGGGGUAUUGACUUCAUGGGACCCUUUCCUUCAUCCUACAAUAACAAAUACAUUCUUCUAGCAGUGGAUUAUGUAUCUAAGUGGGUAGAGGCAAUCGCAACUCCUACUAAUGAUGGAAAAGUGGUGCAGAAUUUUUUCUGGAAGAAUAUUUUUUCCAGAUUUAGGACUCCUAGGGCCAUCAUUAGCGAUGAAGGGAAUCACUUUUGUAACAAGCAGUUUGAAGCUCUAUUAUUAAAAUAUGGAGUUAGACAUCGAAGAGCAUUGGCUUAUCACCCUCAGACAAAUGGACAAGCGGAGAUAUCAAAUAGGGAGGUGAAGCAAAUUCUAGAGAAAACAGUUAACAAUUCUCGAAAAGAUUGUGCCAAAAGCUAGAUGAUGCGCUGUGGGCUUAUCGGACAGCAUACAAAACACCUUUGGGAAUGUCUCCUUAUCGAUUAGUCUAUGGAAAAGCAUGCCACCUUCCUGUAGAGCUCGAGCACAAAGCUUAUUGGGCGAUGAAGCAACUAAACAUGGAUCUUCAAGCAACUGGUGAAAAGUGUUGUUUGCAAAUUAAUGAGAUGGACGAGUUUCGUAAUGAAGCUUACGAGAAUGCAAGGAUUUACAAGGAAUGGACCAAAGCUUGGCAUGAUAAGCACAUCUCAAAGAAAGUGUUUCUACUUGGACAACAAGUUUUACUUUACAAUUCAAGGCUUCGUCUUUUUCCAGGAAAGCUCAAAUCUCGAUGGUCAGGCCCAUUCACAAUUGUUAAAGUUUUUCCCCAUGGAGCAGUGGAAAUCACUCAUGAUGAGAAGGAGACAUUUAAAGUGAAUGGACAACGUUUGAAGCCUUAUUUAAGUGGAGAAUUUGACAACAAGAAGACCACCAUUCUUCUUGAUCCAGCCUAGAAGAAGAGCAACAGUCAAGCUACUUACUAUAACUAAGCGCUUUUUUGCUCUUUUUUUUUUUAUUCCCUUGCAAUUUGUUUAGUUUUCUAUAUUCUUCUUUUCGUUAAUUACUUUGUGUGUUUUCUGAUUUCAAUUUAUUUAUUUAUUUUGGGUGUGGCAGUGAUGCAGUUCUCUACCUUCUUGCUCCAGUACUUGAAUGCGUUGAUGAGGAAGCCAAGAGAGAUGAAGCUUGACCCAUCUCCACUAAUGAAAAGGGAAGUUUCUUCUUAUCUUUUUUUUUUUUCCCUUUCUUUGCUCCACAUUGAGGACAAUGUUAGGUUUUAGUUGGGGGUGCUGAGCAUGAAUAUAUGCAUUCCCGUUUGCAUGAAUUUAGAUUUGGUAUCAUGAAUGCAUUCCAAUUUACAUGAAUUCAACUUUGGUAUUUUGGCUUGAUUACAAUGUAUUUUUGCUUGAGUCAAUAGUGCUAUCUGAGUAAGAUGUUGAAACACCUCAAAAAAAUUUUCUUUUCAAACACGUAAACUAAGCUCAUGUGGUUUGAUGGAUGUGGAACUCAUACAAUUAGAGAACAUUCAAAUUAAAGUUGCAACCUUUUACACUUGUGAGCAAUUGGGCCAUUCUCAUUUUUCUGAGAGAUGUUAUCAUAUUCUUAAUAUUACCUUCAGCAUUGUCUCGUUACAUGAUCUCAUUAUUCCCCAAAUUUGGUUGACUAAUGGGAAUGCCAUUACACGGUUUGUGGUAUGUUGGUUUGAUUAUACUCACGAAAUGAUGAAGGUCAAUUUAGGAUGUAGUUUAAGCCUUUCAAGCCGAACAAUGUCUCACUGAAUAGAAGUCACUUUGAGCUAAAGUCUCAUCAGUCUUUGUGAAGCCAUUUAUUUCUUCACCCACUCCACAUUGGAGGUUGAGCUUAAGUUGAACAUCUCCUUUACCUUCAAAUAUCAAGUAUGUAGUAUAGAUUGUGGAAUAUGCUGUUGAAAAGGGUAUGAAAAAUAUUUUAAAGCAAGGUGUGUUGUUGCGAAAAUCCCUAAAAAAACAAAAAAAAAAAGGGGGGGGGGGAAAGGAAAAAGGAAAAAAGUGUUCUGAAUUGAGAAGAAACACAACAAGAAUAACAUAAUAUUGUGGGAAGCCAUGUUAAGCCCAUGUCUGGAGCAGCUUCUUUGGUCCAGAAAAAUAAAAAAUAAAAAAUAAAAAAAAAUCUAUUUUUCUACCAUUGGACAUAAUUGCAAUCGCAUACUUUGACCAAAGGUCUCACAUGUGGGGCCCCCUUGGUGGAAAAAUGGGCACCAGAUAGCCCUUAAGUCUACAAGUUGAUGAAGAUCCUCAAUAUAUACUUGAGAAUUAAUAUUUUUCUUCAAUCUUCUUAUCCUUCCUUUCAAUUUGACCCCAGUCAUAUUACAACCCUUUAUUGACAUUUUGAUCCUAAGUGGGUUAGUGGUUAGAAUGGUUGAGUUCCCAUUAGUUGGCAUCCUCUCAUGAGAUCAAUUUUGUUAUUUCACUCUUUUGCUCCUAUUUCACUCAUUUGCCCGCAGACAAUUAUUCCUUCCAUAUAUUUGAGUGGCAAUUUUUUUCAACCUUCAUUACCUUUGUUGGCAAUAGUUUUUUUUUUUUUGGUUGAAUAUUACACUUAAUAUUUGCAAAAAUAACUUUUGUCUGGGAUGUUCUCGACAUUGUAUGAGUUUUGGUUUGAUGGAAAGAUGGUGAAGAGCUUAACACACACACACACAUACUAGUUCUAGGAGUGUGCUUUGACAGACAAACUUUAAUAGCAUUGUUGAUCUCUGGUGAAUGCUUUGUUUGAUGUGCCUGAAUAUUUUUGCUUAGUUCGUAUAAAAGGAUUUUCACUUGGGACAGGUUGCAAUACUCUUUCUUCGCUUGAAUUGCUAGGGACUAGCAACAUGCUAGUUGGGGGGUGUGAUAGAGUGAAUAAGAUUUCAUUUUAAUGCUGAUUGCUCAUGAUUAUUUGCUAAUAUACAAGUAUAUUUGGGAAUAAUAAUGAUAUUUUUAUAUAGUUAAAUGAAGGUCAAUCCUAAUUGUGGUGUUUACAAUUUUAUUGUAGAAAUGUAGCCCAAAAAUAACAAAGUUCAAGGCCCAUGAGAGAGGACUCAAUUCUUUUGGACUUAACCCAGCCCAAUCAAAAUAAAAUAGAUUGGAAAGAUUAAUGAAGGGAGCAAAAUCUGUGGAAGAAGUCUCUUGCUGUGAAGAAAUCCCGAAUUGGAAACACAUCUGUACUGCCCUUCGUAUUUUCACCAUAUCUCCCUCAUCCGAUGUCGUAUUGAGCUUAUUCAAGAGGCCCUGGAAAGCUAAUUUAACGUGCUACGAUUUCUCCUGAAAUAGAGAUUUUGAAAUUCUCAUUUUUUCUAAGUGAAAAACGGCCCAAAAUCCAAGGCUAAAAAAAUCUGUCGAAUUGAAGAGGGGAAUUCGGGAUUGAUUCUUUCUUUUCCUGGUGAAGAUGGCUUGAAAGAAAAAAAAGAAAGGAGCGUUAGAGGGGGGGAAAAAGGAGAGGAUGACCAAGAAGGCUGGGACCAAGGUGGAUCGAUUCUUUUUCUUCCCUUUUGGCUAUCAAAAGAGGGAAGCCACUCCAAGAAAUCGGGAGAUCAGAUUCACUGAGUUCUUCCUUCUCCCCAUCUCUUUCAAUUUCUUGAUGUUAACUCUUUAUUUAAAUUUUUCUUCAAUUUUAGCAUGAAUUAAUUUCCGUCUUCUAGAGUUUGAGAUGUAGCCUAACUACGAUUAUGUGAAUCUUCUUUUACUUGAAUUAAUUGGUAUUUGUUCCAAUUGUUGAGUAUUUCAUUCUGGACUUAAUGCUUGUGAAUUAACUGAUCAUCAUUUACUUGAGUUGGGAGUCAAUUUGAGACAGAGAAGUAAUAAUUGUUUCAGCCAAUGUCUGAGAUACCACAUGAAUUCUGUAGGAUAGAGAUAUCUAUGGACUUGUGUAAUUUUUAUGGGUUUAUUUUUGUUCUUAAUGAAUCUUGACAGGCUUAGAAUUUUUACAGAGACGUAGAAAAUUUUCUUGUUGAGAUAUUUUGUUAAUGCUUGAGAAAGAUUAAUGAAUAAAUUAGAAAGACUUGAUUAUCAACAAUUAGGAACACUUAUAAUUAAUUCAAUUAAAAUAUUCACAUAUGAGUACUUAUGGUGAAUCGAAAACUCGAGUAUUGUUUCUUGAUUUUAACUUGCUUGUUCAAUUCAUCUUAAUUUAAACUUUCUGGUUUAAUAAUUCAUUUACAUUCGAAUUGUCAAAUAGAUCAUCAUUUAAUAAAUUUUGAUAAUUAUUCGUAAUUUCUCAAUCCUCGUGGGACGAUACUCUUACUCAUUCACUUCAUCACUUGUUACGACUUGUGCACUUGCGAUUUCAACCAACAAUGUCCUUGAGACUUAGCAACAUCAAGUCACACGUCUUUUAACUCACAUAGUGAGUAGUAUCAAUAGAAAAAAAUUGACACUUCAAUUUGUAAGUCACAAUGACUUUCAAAAUUCCAUAUAUUAGGAAGAGACUAAUUUGAACUUACUACUCAUCUAAAAUUAAUGUGACCAAUGAAAAUGUUAACACUAUGCUAACCACCAACUAAGUCACAUUUGAGAAAAAAAGAUCAUUUAUAACAUAACUUAACAAUUUAAAUCUCAUGUACUAAAAUUCACAUUUUCCCGUACUCGACUAAGUUUGAUUUUGAUCUUUAUUCUGUAGAGUAGUAUGACCUACAUAAGGUCUUCUAUUACGUGGUUGAUACUCUCUAAAGUAUCAUGUCCUUCUAGUACAUUUAAAAUCUUAUCAUGCCAAAUGUUAUCGCAUUUAGUUUAUCACCUUUAUUAAGAUUAACUUCUAUAAAUUUUGAUGACAUGUUCUAUCAGAUUUUUAGAGACAUGUUAUUCUUAAUCAAUGCCCAUUUAUGCACAUAUUUAAUUUUACAUUAACGCAAAUUAACAUCUACGAUAGUUCAAUGUUAGGCACAGAAUCGAAAGUUCACUAUGUUCCCAAUUAUCGUCCGCAAUCCUAUCGUUUCACUAUCAUAAACUUAAUUUAAUAAUGCAAAAUUCCAUGGGUUCUAAGUGAGAAUCACAUUAAUUCUUCCAACUUCAAAACUCCCACUCAGUUGAUGAAUCAAAUAGUUCUUGGUGAGAUUUUCUCAUAAAUCUUCCAAUCAUCGAACUAUCACUCAACUGACAAUCAAUAGGUUUAAAUAAGAAUCUCACUAAUUCUACUGACCUUAGCAUUUAUAACAAUACAUGAUGUAUUCAAUUAGAUAAUUUCAUAAUAUGCAAUAAAAACAUAAAUAUGCACAUUUAUCCAAUCAUGACAUGCAUCAUGAUAUAACAAAUUAAUUCUUUCAGGAGAUAACUUCAAUUAUAAUUCAAAAAUAAAACUAACAUCGUUUAAGUUUUAUUUUACAAAUUCUCAAUCCCAUCUAAAUCUCGGUCGCAACAAAGUCCUAAUAACUGGGAAGUGACAUUAGAAUUAUUAUAUUCUGCUUGUCAUCAAAAACUUAUAUCCCAAAAUAUUUACGUGCUCCACAAUAAGUCAUGUUCCAGAUCCAUUCAUUUAUAUCGAUAAGCAUGGAACAUUUCAACAAGUUUCAUAGCCUUUGGUUUUCUAGCAUUCCUUCUAAGGAUGCUAUAAAUGUGCACAAAUCUAGCCAUAUUUGAUCAAGCACAAAAAAUUGAAAACAAGUCACAAUGGAUCACAUAACCUAAUUAAGACCCACACAACUCAUGAACGUAUAUAUAAUGCGGUAUUUUAAAUACUUUCGGAGCAUUUUUUAUUUAAAAAUGAAACACUUAAAAAAAAAUAACUCUCACUAGGCAAAUACUGCUUAACAAUUAUUCUCGAUUUUUAUAAAAAACUUAGAAUUUAAUCGAGUCCAAAAAAAAUAUUUUUGAUUAUCUAAAAAUUAAUUUUAAUUGCACAUAAAAAUCAAGAAUAUUUGAGGGACCAAUGUACAAUUUUCUAAAAUUCAUUUGAAAAAGUCAAACGGUAAUUUUAUUUGACAUUCUAACUUUUAACCUUUUUUUAAUUAAAAAAAGGGGCAUUGAACACCCACUACCCGCUAAUCCACGACGCUUAUUCAAUAAAAAAAAUUCGUUAAUUCGUUCCUUUAGUCAAUUUUAACGUUCUGAGUUCAUCUGUGUGGUCAAAUUUCAUAAUAUCAACUUUUAAGAUUGUGUUCUGGACCCAAACAGAUUCGAUCGAGACUAAAAAAUGGGAAAAAAAGUAUUGUUCAUCUUUAAAAAAAAAAAACAUAAUUUUCAGUUUUUUAUCAAUAUUUCGGGAAGCCAUAACUUCUUCAUUCCAAGGUCAAAAUUUAUGUUUUUUAUAUUGUUGGAAAGGUUUCGGGAAUAUCCAUCCAACCAUAUCAAAUGGGCAUCACGAAACACAAUGUGAAAGAAGUUAUCAUCUGAUAAAGAUUCUGAUUUUACAAAUUUUCACUAAAAAAAAACAUAUUUUCAUCUAAACUUUGGGAGGGCAUAACUUUCUUGUCUCAAGUCCAAAAUUAAUGAUCUUCAUAUCGUUAGAAAGGUCUCGAGAAGAUCUAUCCAACCACAUCAAAUGGACAGCAUGAAACUUAAUGUAUAAAAGUUACCACGUGAUGAAUUUCAGGAUUUUACCAAGUUCCACACUUAAAAUUCAUAUUAUCAUCCAAAUUUCAAAAAAUCAUAACUUCUUCGUUUUAAGUCCAAAAUUUGAGUUCUUUAUAUGGUUGGAAAGCUUACGAGAAGAUCUUUCUAACCAUACUAAUCUUACUACAUGAAGAUGAACGAAAAAAUGGCAGUAAAUUAUCAAAUGAUGCCACUAAAUACCACAUAAGGUUUCAAAACUUUGCAUACAAGAUUCAUAAUCUAAUUCUAUCAUGUAAUGGCAUAAUUAAGCAUGAAUUAGAGCAAGGAACUCAACCUUAUGGCUCUGAUACUAAUGUAGGAAAAUCGUAGCAUGCUUUGAUAUGAAUUUCGGGUCAACAAAUUUACUUGAAAUGAUGAAUUUCAAGAUCUUUGUGUGGUUGAAUCACCUUGCUUUCAAAUCUCCAAAAUUUGUAUUUUCUUGUACUCCAAUGAUCCAAAUCCCUAUCAUAAUGGAAGGGGAUUAUUGUCCACAAUCUAAGUGUCAUUUCUUGUGAGAUUUCAUGCCAAAAAUGUGAUUUGAGGGACUUUAAUUCAACCCCAUAACUCCCAAGUAACCACUUGAAACUUCCGUAUAGAAGUUAUGGAAAAGAGGAGGAAAAUGGAAGACAUGAAAAAAAAAAUGGUGAAAAAAUUCGUAUGGAAAUUCACCUCAAAAUUGGAAAGUCCCUAAAAUCACAUUUUUGGCAUGAAAUCUCACAAGAAAUAGCACUUAGAUUGUUGACAAUAAUCCCCUUUCAUUGUGAUAGGGAUUUGGAUCAUUGAAGUACAAGAAAAUAUAAAUUUUGGAGAUUUGAAAGCAAGGUGAUUCAACCACACAAAGAUCUUGAAAUUCAUCAUUUCAAGUAAGUUUGUUAACCCGAAAUUCAUGUCAAAGCAUGCUACGAUUUUCCUACAACUGGAAACAUCUUUGAUGGUCACAGUUCUACAAUUCACACAAGGAAAAAUGAAGAGCUGAAAUUCAAAAGUAGUGAAUCUUGUGAAAAUAAAAGACAAUUAUAAAUCCACGUUAGUUGUAAGAUACCUGUCCCGGCCCGGUGGCCUUUCAUAUUGUAAAGGUCUGUGAUGACGACGGCAGAAAGAUCUUUCCUUUAAUUGACCUGUGUGUUGAUCGACGGAGGAAAAAUGAGUUGCCUCCGUAACAUAGCUUUGCUUCAAGACCAGUUUCUUUACAUGGGAUUGUGACGUAGCCCAACCAUUCAACCCCACGAACCGGUAAAAAUCUAAUCACAGGCUUUGAUGAGUUCAUAAAUAGUAAAUAAGCAGAAUUAUCAUUAUUGAUAGAGAAGAUGAAUGUUCAAGUAGGACAUUGAGAGUGCCCCGCGAGACAUGAUGAGUCUCUCCAAGAAUAGGAUUGUAAGGAGUCAAGCCAAACAUCAAAGGACGUAAAGUGGAUCUGGACCAAGCAAUAACAGAUAUGAAUCUGUCAAGAGGGGUUUCUCCAUUGUUGCACUUACUUAACAUAACUGUUUUAAUGCAGUACACUGAUUCUCCAUAGCAUUGAAGCUAUGAUUUUGGAAGGUUGAAGAUCGGUGGCAGCUGCAUUUUUAGACAAUAAAAAUCAUAUAUAAUAUCACUCCAUAAAUUUAAUAUUAUCCAAGUACAUAAAUACUUCUGAGUUCCAAUUACAGUUGCCUACUCAUCCAUUUCAGCAUCUUCGUUUAGUAUACACAAGUACAAUGCAUAGGAGGUCUAAUAAUCGAAGGACUAACACGAACACGAGCAAAAUUUACACACACAAAAUAAAUAAAAUGGGAAAUACAGCUUGCCUGAAGACGUAUGAGAUCAGAUCCUGGGUGGACACUACUCAACAGACUGAAAAUGCGUUGAAGCAGAUUGGGAGGUCCAUCAGAAUUCUCUCCCUCCAGUGAUAAUGGUGCAGUUAGU